rnacentral:lncRNA from 1 species
GAGCCCAACAACCCCCAUUAGAAGAAGAUCCGCCACCCAAGCCUCUUUGGAAGUGGCUAGAGCAAAAAAAAUCUCAACUUCCUCUCAUUACCCAUAGAGAAAGCCACUUUGCUUCCAAAAAAAGUCCCAUUCCUUAUGGUUUUCCAAAUGCCAACAUCAUACCCAUCUCUCACUUUGCGGUAUUUCCACCCACCAUCCUCUUCCCCGUAUUUUUCACUGAUGACUUUUUGCCAAAAAGCCCCCCUAUCCACUGCCUAACACCAACUCCACUUGCACAACAAUGCUUUAUUGAGGGACAACAAGUGCCUCACCCUCAACCCUCCCUUGCUUUUACCAAAACAGAUUAUAGCCCAUCAAACCAAGUCGGGUUUCUACUCCAAGGCCCCUCCUCCUUAGAGAAAAUCCCUUUGGAUUUACUCUAGCUUCAACUUGACUGAACUCGAGAUACAAAAAAGGGACAUAAAAUAAAUAGGCAUGCUAGAAAGGGUGCUACGGAUUAGAGUGAGUCUCCUGCCUUUUCCACAUAGUCAAUCUUUUGUGCAACCUUUCCUCCACACUGUCUCAAAUUGAGACGAACUUAAAAAGAGCACCUAACGGGAAGGCCAAAUAAGAAGAGGGAAGGACACCAACCUUACACCUAAACUCUUGAGCUAGCUCAUCUACAUUCUUCACGCUCCCUACUGGAAUUAGCUCACUCUUUUCCAGAUUAACUUUUAACCUAGAAAUAGCCUUGAACCACAUAAGCAACCAACACAAAUAGGUCAACUAAUCAUGAGAAAGCUCACAAAAAACUAAGAUGUCAUAAACAAACAAUAGAUGAGAGACAUCCACUCCCUUCCCACCUCUACCACUCACUCGCCAACCUGACAAAAAACCGUCAAUCUUAGCCCUUUUGAGCAAACAACUGAGAGCCUCCAUGACAAUCACAAAUGAGUAGGGCGAGAGAGGGUCCCCCUAUCUCAAACCUUGAUAGCUAUGAAAGAAACCUAUCAAAGACCCAUUAACAAGGACUGACAAGCUCACAGUAGAAAUACACCACUUAAUCCACUUGAUCCACUUAUCACCAAACCCAUCUUUUUUUUUUCUUUUGAUAGGUCACCAAAGCCAUCUUGUUAAGAACCAAAAGAAGAAAAUUCCAAUUGGCAUGAUCAUAGGCCUUCUCUAUAUCCAACUUACAAAUUACAUCACAUGCACUCCUCUUCAACAAUGAGUUGAUAGCCUCAUUAGUUAUCAAAGAAGCAUCCAAAAUUUGCUUUCCCUCCACAAAGACAUUCUAGGAAUAAGACACAACCUUUCCCACAACCCUCUUUAAUUUGUUUGUUAGCACUUUAGUUAACAACUUGUAGAUGCUACCCACUAAGCUUACUAGCUUAAAGUCCUUUAGGUCCUCAGCUCCCCCUUUCUUCGGAAUAAGCACCAAAAAAGAAGCAUUCAAGCUCUUCACGAAUCUAUCAUGCUCAUGGAACUCCCAAAAAACACCCAUCACCCCAUCCAUCCUUUACAAAGUCCCAAUUGAACUGCCAAAAAUCCAAGGAAAAAUCAUCUAGGCCUGGAGCUUUAUCUCCAUUGAGAUCCAAGAGGACUUUGAACACCUCUACCUCAAAGAACAGCACCUCCAACAAGACUGCCUCAUCAUCCCCUAAAACAUCAAAAGUCAGCCCCGAACAACUGGGCCCCCCAUUUUCAGCUAAUAAGGAUUGAAAGACCUAGACCACACCCUCUUUGAUCUUUCUCCCCUCCGAGACCUAGUGACCAUUAAUUUUAAUCCUGACCAAAUAGUUCCUUCUCCUAUGUGCAUUAGCCAUUUUGUGGAAGAAACCAAUAUUUUUGUCACCCUCCUUCAACCAUAGCUCCCUAGGCUUUUGCCUCUAGAAAACUUCUUCCAACAAAACCCACUUCUUAAAGUCCUUCUUAGCCAACUGCCUAGCAUUCUGUUCCUCCAACGUCAAGGGCCUGGUCUCUUCCUUAGAACCCCAAAAAGCCAUUUCUUCCAACAAAAUCAUAUCUACAUUGUAACUAAUAAAAGUACAAAAGGACAAUAUAAAGAACGAAAAUUUAAGAUAUACAAGUUUUGAUAACAAAUAUUUGGUGCAUUUAAACUACAUUUGGUUAGAAGGAUAGGAUAUGAUAUAAUAGACAUACAUUAGGAUAUCAUUUCCAAUGUAUAUGCAUAUCCUAGAAUUUCAUUUCCACUGGAUAUGAUAUGCUUGGAUAUUUUAUCUAAUAGGAUAUGUUAUAUCAUACUCAUAUUUGGUUUGUACAAUGACUGAAAAUUGGAAUAGAAAAUAUAAUGUAUUUCAAUAUUCAAUAUUUGUUUAAAAAUAAAAAUCAUACUAUAUCUCAAUAUUUGCUAUUGAAAAAAUAUGGAAUCUCUCCCAUAUUUAGUUUUAUAUGAAAAUUAUUAUAUAAUUUAUCAUUUAGUAAGUGUUUUUUAUUUCUUUAUUAAUAAUGCUCAUGAUUAAAAGAUUAAAUAAAAAUAUUAUAUUAUGUUGUUAAAUAUAUAAAAACAUUUUGCAUAUAUUAAAUAUUAAAUAUAUAUAUAUAUAUAUAUAUACACACAUAUAUUAGUAACAUAUAUUCCAAGUAUUUUCUUUUUCAAACUACAAUUUUAAUUUUUUAAUAAUUUUUUUCACAAAAUGACUAAUAGAAAAUUGAAAAAAAAAUGAAGAAAAUGGAUGAGAAGAAUCAAUUUAUGAUUUAUGAGAUUUAUAUAUCCCACAUCUCAACUUAGGAUUAUCAUAUUCCAUGUAGAGGGGAUAUAGAAAAAGGUUGAAUAAUAUAUCCUACCAGCAUGUUUGAUUGAACAUUUGAUAUAAUAAGGGAUAAGAUAACUUAUGCUAUUCAAUCAUCAACUAAACCAAGGAUUGGAUAUGUCAUCUUAUCUCUUAUCCCAUUCCAUACUAUAUCCCGUCAACCAUAGUCUUAAUAUUUUGAUAUCUUAAGAGACCAUCAUCCUUAAUUUUGAACUCACAACAAAAGUAUCAUCCAUCGAGUCUGAAUUCUCAGUCUAUGUAAUUGAAAUCGAAAGUACACUAAACAACAUUCCAUUGUUUAAAACAAAGAUGGUUAAAGGAUAGAAGAAAAAAAAAGUCAGGGAACACUUAAAUCUUCAGAUUUCUAAAUUUUCUGGUCUUGUAAACAUAAACAUAAAAAGUUCCAACCAAUUAUUCCCUUUUCUUUUGGUAAGGUUUCAAUAAAUGACUCGAUUUGCAAUUUCUGAAAUAACUACAAUAAAAAUUGUUAGCAUUUGCACAGGUGCUGACUCACAGACAAGAUAUUAGCCAUGCCAAAUCCACAAGAAUAUGAACAUUCGUUUCUUCUUCCUCUUUGCACAUGUAGCAUCUAUUAGGCAUCUUCCACCUCUGAGCCUUCUUCCUCUUCAAUUAGAAAGAAUGCAUUCAAGUUGGCAAGGGUCCUUUAUGGGUAGGAAAAGGAAAAAGGUUUGGUGAGUUGCUCCUUUGUAUCUUUUUUGGACAGUCUGAAAGGAAAGCAACAGUGGGGCGUUCAAUAACAAAGAGCUUUCUGAUCAAAGAAUUAGAUUUGCUUUCCUUUGUAAUCAUUGAGCGCGGUCCAAAUUAUUUAUAGUUUUAGGCUUUUUCUUAAUUGUAGAAUUUGUGGAUUGGAUAUGGGCUCAUUGAGUGGUGUUGUUUUUUGUUAGUCCCUCUUUCUUUUUUGGUGGCGCUAUCAACGCUUUUUGUAUAUUCCCUGUGUACUUUGGGGGCACUUUUUUGGCAUUUCUCUUUACCUAUGAAAAAAAUGAUUUUGUUGCAUUAUGUCAUGGAUUAAUUAACCCUCUGUAAUGGGCUUCAGAGAAGCGUGAUGUCCUAGUUGUGUACAAUAUCAAUUUAUCAGAAAAAAAUGAAGCUUUCUUGUCAAUCAACUCCAUAAAUACAUGUGGGAAUGUUCAUUUUGGUCAUAACCUGUUCUAGGAAUUGAUCUGCUGAAUUUUUGAACUCCUAAUGUAUUUUAGAAAGGUUGGCAUAAGCUCAAGAAGAGUUUGAACCCUGGUUCCUGGGACAAUCCUAAAUGGGCUUUGCUGGCUACACCUUAUAAUACAACUACUAGUUAUGAUAUUGCUAAUACAGAUUCUAUCAAAAUGUUCUUUUAUUGUUGGGGUCAGGAAGUGGAUCAUUCUGUCUGCAUAUCUAUUGAGGCACACAGUUCUUUUCUUUUCCUUGGCACUCUAGGCAGUGAAUAUACAUCCAUUUGCAGUAUUUAGUGUCAGAGUAAAAUUUUCUCUUGUUUCCAUUAUCUGUCUUUUUGAGUUCCAUUUGUUGCUAGUUUAAUGCAUCUCUUGUCUCUAACGAAUGAUUGGUCUGGGAUAUCUCAAAAGUUUUCUUUUAAUGUUUGUUUGAGAUUAAGAACACCUGUGUUUCUCUGAAAUUUCAUGAGUAUUGAGUAAUACAUGCUCAGUUAUUUUGUUGGAAUAAUGAGUUGGUUACUUGGAUGCAACAUAGAAGAGAAAUUUUCAGAUUAUUAUGCGCCAUAUUGAAUUGAUCAUUCCAUCAAUGAAUUAAUGUCUCUGGUUUAUUCACAGUUCUUGGAAACAGGUGCUGAACUGGGGAACAACUACACAGAAGUGAUUGCUCCACAAGAUGUUGCUACCUAUGGUGGUCUUUGUGCACUUGCAAGCUUUGACCGUACAGAGCUGAAGGCAUCUAUUGAGUGUUUUUCCUUUUCAAUAGUUGUUUUUCUCUAUGGUUUCAUGAUUGCUUUCUAAUUGAAUGCUUUCACUUGGCAGAAUAAAGUUAUAGACAAUCUCAACUUCCGGAACUUCUUAGAGUUAGUACCUGAAGUAAGGGAGCUUAUUCAUGAUUUCUAUUCAAGGUAACUUUAUGGUCUUAUGUGUGAUCUCUGUGAUUUUAUUAGUCUGCCUUAUAGCUAUCUAAUCAUGCUGCACAAUGUUGUCUGGCAUUCUCCUAAUAGCAAAAAAUGUAAAGUUUCAUUUAGGAUUAAAUUAAAACAAAUAUGAUUAUUAGGAAAUGUAAAGUUCCAUUAGGGAUUAAACUAACAUUGUAUUUAAAGGAAGAGAUUUGGGAGGAAAAGAUUAGGAUUGAUUUCAAAGCCUCAAAUUUAGUGUUUGGAAGAAAGGGAAUUCUUAGAAGGAAAGAAUUUCAAAAAAUUUACUGGAACAAUGUUUAAGUUUUGAAUUCUUUUUUUUCUUUUUUUUUUGAUAGGUAAAUAGAGCAUGUCUUAGAAGCGGCGGAAACAGCAUACAAAGUAUACAAGCAGAACGCCCAAAAAACUAAGCUUAAGUUUUAAAUUCCUUUAAACCAUGGUAAAACUUAAUGGGAUUUAAAUUUCAUUAAAUAGGAAGCUAAAUCGCAAUUUCCUCUUUUCCAACAUUGCCUCUAUUUCUCUAUCUUCUUCUCUUCAACUUUUUUUGAUGACUAAAGCAAGAGAGUAUUAUAAACAAAGACUGCCAAAACAAGAGAGUAUUCUCUGCAACUUGGUACAUGCAUUCUUUUUCUACUUCAAUGGCUUUUUAAUGGUAGAACCUUUGCUAAGAAGUUAUUUCAAAUAAGUAUAGAUAUUUGUUUUUUUUUCUUUCUUUUUUUAAUCUAAUAGAUAGAUUCUUGUAUAGAAUGAAAGGAAAAAAAUUGUUAUUAUAAUUAAUGUAUUAUUUUAAUGUUUUUUAGCAGUGUAAAUAAUUGUUCUUUUGGAUAGAAUUCUGAAUUUUAAUCUUACUUAUGUCAUUUUAGUUAUAUCUCUAUUUUUAUAUCACUUAUAUCAUGUUAGUUAUAUGUCUUUUUUUUUAUAAUUACUGAUAGAUUUAUAUUGGGAUUAAAGCAAAAAUUUCUUUGCUAUGAUAAUUAAUCAUUUUUUUAGUUUUACUAGCAAUUUUUUUAUUUGAGUGAAUUAAAAAGUUGAAUUUAAGGAAACUUAAAUCCUUCUAGGAAUUAUUUGUUGUUUUAGUUUUGUGUAGAAACUUUAAAUAAUUAGUAAUGAUUGUUCAUUUAAUUUUUUAAAUGAUAAAUGAUAUUCUUUAUUAAUUUUAUCAUAAUGAAUUUAUUUAUUAUAAUUAAAUUUAUUAAUUAGUUUGGUUUUAUUUAUGAAUGUUUAAUGUUUGAAUCAUUUAAAGUUAUGAUUGAUGCGGGGUUAAAAUAGUACAACAGCAUUAUUUCUUUUCCACCUGUCUCACAAUACCAAGCAAUAGAAAAAAAAUUGUUUUAAUUUCAAUUCCUUCUCAGACCAAACAAUAUGAAGGAAUGGAAAUCCAAUUUCAUUUCAAAUUCCAUGAAUUAAAUUAUUUUCCUUUGGAAUGAAGCAAACACAGCAUAAAAUGAAAUAUAGUUGUUUUAUUGGAUGGAAAGUAGCUUUGUUUGUUAUAGUUUUAAUUUUCAUUCUUGUCCAUUUCAAGUGGGUGAUGAUUCAAGAUGUUCCAACAGUGGUUUAGAGCCUUUUUGAGAGUGCUUUUGAGAGAGUUAGAAGUGCUUCGGUGCUUCCUAAUGUUUGGAAGUGCUUUGCUUGUAAAAAUUAGACAUUUGGAAAAGUUUUGAAUUUUACUUCUAAAAAUCUAGAGAAUCACUUGAAGUGAUUCUUGGACUAAUACUUAUUAGGCACUUCUUCCAUAAAACACUCUUUAUUAUGUAACAUGUUACCAAAAACACUAAUAAAAGAUUUUUUUUUAAAUUUAUAUUCAAAUACUAACAAAUUCUCCAUAAGAUCUUUUCUGAUUGAAGAGCUAAAAGGCAUUACAGGCGAAAAGCACUUUUACCAGAAUCACUCUCAGACAAGCACAAAGUAUCACUGAUAACAGAACUACAAGCAAAAACACUUUUAUAAGAUUCACUCCCAAACAUGCUCAUAUCAUAAUAUUAUUGGAUGAACUAAGGGACUGAGUGGCAUCCUUGUUGCAAUUAUUUUGGUAUUUUUUACUUGGUUUUUAUCCCUUCCUAGGAAAGAAAUAAUGAGUAAAGUUGGGAGUUUCUUCUUAUUGAAAAAAAAAAAAGCCUUGACAAGGAGAAUGCUUUCUUUUCUUCCUAGUGUCACAGCUGAUAUGAAAUUAUAUCAGUUUACCAAGUCAGACAUCCCGCUUCGGAAGAUUUAGCUCUAGAAAUGUUCUUAAUACUUAUUGUGACAUUACAGAAGUUAAUGCAAAAUUGAAACAGUUUACCAAGACUAUCAGAAAACCAUACAUUUGAUGUAGAAAACAUCCCAUUAUCUUCCUUUUUUUUCCCUGCUAUUCUAUCGUUCCAUUCAAGUGCAAUGUCCAUACAAGUUAACAGUUACUUAGAAAACUUACAUUGAUCAGUAUUGUAAUUUUUGUCUUUUAUUUUCACUGUUAUCUGCAUGGCUUAUUUAGCUAUCUGGAAGCAUCAUGAACCCUGUUCCAUGUGACCUCAAUUAUGGCAUGGGAUUUCUCUUGGUAAUUCUAUCUGUAUCCUUGUAUUGAUGUCCUUCAAAUCCAUCUAUUACCAUUAUUUCUGCCACUAAAUUUCACUAAUUUAAAUUUGCUUAGAAAAUUAUUUAUCAACAUUUAAAACUGGUAAAUGCAUUGAAGUAACCUUACUUUGAGUUGUAUCAUCUGCUCCUUCAUAACAUGACUACUUUUAUUUGCUUGAUAGGUUAUAGAUGCCUGUUGUCUUGAUUUAUUUCUCUUUCCAGUAUUCUUAGUUUCAAGUCUGAAGACUCUUUCCUUGUUGCAGCCAUUAUGCAUCAUGUCUUGAUUACCUUGGAAAUCUCAAAACAAACCUGUUACUUGACAUCCAUUUGCAUGACCAUGUUGAAAUGCUGUAUAAUCAAAUCCGCCACAAAGCCCUCAUCCAGUAUACGCAUCCCUUCGUGUCUGUUGACCUGCGGAUGAUGGCUAAUGCUUUCAAAACGAGUGUUGCAGGGCUGGAGAAAGAGCUUGAAGCUUUGAUUACUGACAACCAAAUACAGGUAUUGUUUCAUUGCUAAUUUUUUUCUUGUUAGACCUUAAUUGUCAUUUGUAAAGAAAACAGGUUACUAGUUGAUGUUAUAUACCCAGAAAACUUCACUGUAGGCUUCUACACAACCUAUCAGUUUGUGUAAGAGCCUGACUUCAUCCUUUGUACACCAAUAUCAUCAUUGGUUUUUGUGAUCAAAUCUCUUGUUUUCAUGCAGGCUCGGAUCGACUCACAUAACAAAAUUCUCUACGCACGACAUGCAGAUCAAAGGAAUGCAACUUUCCAACGGGUUUUGCAGACAGGCAACGAGUUUGAUCGUGACGUUAGGGCAAUGCUGCUGCGAGCAAACCUCCUCAAGCAUGAAUACAAUCUUAGGGCAUCAAGGAAACCAUAAACAUCAAUAUCCCGGAGGAUUAGGUGUUACCAUGUUGAUUAAGUCCAGACUUGGUCAGCUAGUAUGGGAGAUGUGGAGAACCAAAAUCCUUUGAAAAGAGGGGAAUGAAAAAUGACCCAUGCUCUAUAGCUGUUUUCAUUUUGAUGGGUGCAGGAAGGGUGUUUGUGGAACUAUGACCAACAUUGAUGGAUUAUAUGUUGUGUAUAUACUCAAAAUUAUUCACCUUAGUUGCCACAUUGAUUCUUUCUCAUAUCUUUGGUUCUCUCAUCUUCUUCUCCUUUCCAAACAGGGACUGAAAUUUGACACUUAACGAAUUUGCCAGAACCCUACCCUUAGACUCUCUUUUGUAACCUUUUUGUCGCAGUGCAAUAUUAUUCCACUUGGGGAAACCUCUUCUCCUUUGGCACUGAACUGGAUUCUUUCCUUAAAAGGGCUCGAGUUGAGCUGAGGCAAAGCUCAAGCUUUCAUUUUUCAAUUCCUUUUUCUUGGUUCACUCUCUGAUUUCAACCAUUUAGAACCGGGCUUGUACGAUAGUAAAAGUAAGACCUUUUUUAUUGGGUGUUAAAUGCCCACAUGCACUGGUUUUAGGGAUCACAUGUCUCAGUCACAUGCUCAAAGGUAAAAGAACUUGGCCGACAGUGGUCAAAAGUGCAAUCAACAACACGAGAUCAAGUCAAGAUUCUUUGAAGUGUGAGAUUUCCACCUCACCGACUUUAUUAUUCAUUAAUAAAUUAGCUUCAUUCCAGGGAUAAGUUGAAGGAAAGAAAAUAUUUAGGUAACAAAGAGUUGAAAUUGAACUUUGUUGAAUAUAUAUAUAUAUAUAUAUAUAUAUAUAUAUAUAUGAUGAAAUGCAAAUCUUUAAAUAAAGGUGCCAAUAAAUAAAAUCAAGGCAUGAAGAUCGAAACGAGAAUGAGACUAUGCUACCGAAAAUUCUCAUCUUGAUUAUUAAAUAUAUAUGGUAAAGUUUAGGUUGUUGGAUGAGAAUAUAAACAAAUAAAUGAGAUUUGAGUAUAAAAUCAUAGAAUCUAAAAAUAUGCAUAUGACACGACUUGAUUGGUAAUACCAUUUCAAUACCUGAUUUGAUACCUAAAGAACAAAGUAUUUGUAGGAAGAAAUCAAGUUUUAACUCAAAUAAAUCAUUAUUAUUUUUUUAAAAUGUUUAUUUUAAUAAAAUCACAUUUAUAACUUCCAUUUACCAUUAAAUUCUAAGUUAUAACAUAUUUUUCUUUAAGUAUUUUAAAUUUUAUAAAAUAUCAUCACUUAUUUAAGUAAGACUAAGAGAGUGUUUGUUUUUUUAACUUUUUACUCAAAGCAAUUUGUUUUCAGAAUUUAGCUUGUUUGUUUUUCUACUUUUUUUAUGACUUAUUAUAAACUUUUUAUUUAAUAGAAAAAACCAAAAUAUGAAGGUUCUUUCAAGUGCAAUGCACGUGAACAAUUAGGUAAUAAAGUUAAUAUUAUAUAAAUUUUUAAUUAUUUAAUAAAAAUUGGAACAAUAUUUUUAUUGUUUUAGAAAAUAUUGUUACUUCAUGAAAAACUCUACAAAAAAAACCCAUAUGUCAAAUUAAAAUAAUUAAUUAUUUUUUAUUAUUUAAUAAACAAGCAUGUAUUAUUAUUUGUUGUGUUGGUGAGUAUGACAUAAUCAAAUAGAAUUUGUUUAAUAUUUUUUCCCUAAAAUUUUAAGAAAUAAAAAAAUUUAUUAAUUUUAUUUAAAUUAGAUUUCUUAAACUUUUAUAAAACUAAAAUAAUAAUCUUAUAAUGAAAUUUCUAACACUUAUCAAAUUAAAAUAAAGAAAAAUUAUACUUCAAUCACAAUCUUUAAAAAAAAAAAUUAGGUAUGAAAUUAUUAACACUUAUAAACACCAAAAGUGGAUAUAUGCUAAUUUUAUGACACCUAUUAUAAUUAGAAAAUAAAUAAAUCUUAAAUUAAAAAAAAACUUAAAUUUUAAAUUAAAAUAGUUAUAUCGAUUUUGAAAUUAAUCUUAUAAUUUUAUAUAAAUAAAGAAAUUAUUUAUAGAAAAACAAAAGAAUAAGAGAAUUACAUAUAUUCUCUAUUCUAAAGAAUAUCUUUAAAAAAUGUACUCAUAUUUUUUUCUCUUUUAAAUAUAAAUUUAUUAAUAUUUUCUUAUUCUUCAAUUUCAUAACAUUUUUAAAUAUGAAAAUAGUUUUAUAUCUCAAUAUGUUUUUUAAAAUAUUUGAAUAUUAUCAUUAUAUUUUAAAAAUAGAAUAAUUCAUAUUUUAUUUCAUUACUAUUUCUAAAUGCUUCUAAUUUCAUUAAAAAAAAGUGGAAUUUAAAAAGUGUUUUUGUUUUUGCUUUUUGUUUUUUUGUUUUUUUUGUUUGCCCCCUUAAGUUACUCUCACACUCCACUCUCUCCAGAAGCUUUCCUCCAUUUUCACCUGCACAGUCUCCAUCCUAUGAACCUGAAACCCUAGGUUUUCAGUUUCAAUUUUCUCAUCAGAUCUGUGAAGGCCUUGAAUCCAAUAUCCAAUACCCUAGGAUUUACUUUUCUUUUCUGGUUGUUUGUUCUGUUAAAUGUGGUGCUGAUUUUCUGUGAAUUGGUGUAAAAUGGGGCAUUUGAAUCUGCCGUCGUCGAAGCGUAACGCGAGGCAGUAUCGGCUCUUGGACCUCGUGACGGCGUCGUUUUUCGGCAUUGUGAUUAUUUUUUUCCUUUUGGUGUUUACUCCUCUCGGUGACUCGUUGGCGGCCUCCGGCAGGCAGGCCUUGCUGCUUUCUACGGCGGAUCCGCGGCAGCGGCAGAGGCUGGUGGCGCUGGUGGAGGCGGGGCAGCAGCAGGCGAUCGAGGCUUGCCCGGCGGAGGAGGUGGAUCACAUGCCGUGCGAGGAUCCCAGGCGAAACAGUCAGCUCAGUAGGGAGAUGAAUUUCUAUCGGGAACGGCAGUGUCCGUUGCCCGCGGAGACCCCGCUGUGCUUGAUUCCUCCGCCUGAUGGGUACCAUAUUCCUGUUCGGUGGCCGGACAGCUUGCAUAAGGUCUGUGUAUACAUGUCUGUGAUGGUUUUACUUCAAGAUCGUGCGUUAAUGAGCUAUUAAAAUCCUAAUUUUUUUAAUGCUUAAUUGUAGUUAUGAUAGAACACUUUAUCUAGGGUAUUUUUCCUGGUUGAAGCAGGAACUAAGCUUGUUUAGUAACUGGAAUGUUAGAAGCUUUCCAGCGGAAGUGGAAUUUGCGCGUUUUUUGCAUUUAAUUUUGAUUUAGAUUUUAUAGUAUGCUUUGAUUUUAACAACUAGGGGAUUUGGAUGUAAUAUGGAUAAGCUAAGUGUUUUUUUUUUUUUUUUUUGAUAGGUAGAUAAGCUAAGUGUUUGUGAUUAAGCAUUAAUGGAGAAUUCGAGGGAUUCUUUAUAUUCCUGCAUAUUUGGCAUGAUUGCAAUUCUAGGACUUCAAACUUCAAGACCUUGAACUAGAAGAUCAGAGUAUUAAAUGAUUGUUAUGUGAGUGUUGGUUUGCAGUGGACUCAAAGUCCUUUGAUAUUUCUAUAGAGGAGUUUGGUGGGAGGUUGAGAGGGGUCAUUGUGGAGAGAGGCAAGGGUUUCUCAACCUGGGUUAGGUUUGGGGAGAUCAGUCUUGGUUGCCUGCUGGAAGGGGUGGAAGUUUGUUGUAUAGACGAAGGGAUGUCGAAGUAGAGCAAAGGGUGGGAGAAGGGAGGUAGGAAGUUCAAGCUGGAAUGUCAGGUGAAUGGGGCAAGGAGGUUCAUUUUUUGCUAUGUAGUUACAGUAGAGUCAAAGAGAUUUUCUUUGACCUUUCCAGAAGGGGGAGGGGGAUCCAUGGGGAGUGGCCCAUUUUGGCGGAAAAAUUGCGCUCGCUAGGGGUUGUCCCCAUAGCUGAGAAAAAGAAAAUGGUCUUUUCAGUUGAGAAGGGGUGUAAUUGGAAGGCAGUGAAUGGAAGCGAGUCCUUUGUGAAUGCAGCAAGGAAGAAUAUGGGCUUGGUGGGGGAAGCAGCUUGGCUACAACUUGGGGAGGGAGAGGUGCAAAGUAGGGAGGAGAAACUUAGGAAAUGUCUGGUUGGGAGGUUUGGAAAGGGCCCCUUAUCGACCUCAGAAUCAUUCACGUUGAGAAAAUGGGUAACAAUUACUUGGUCCCUGAAACAGGGGUUGAAGGUCUCUGUUUUCAAGGGGUUUUUUCUUUUGUUUGACUUUAAAGAUUGUAUGGAGGCAGAAAGGGUAUUUGCUAGAGGAUCGAGAAGACUUAAGGAGAGAAUCCUACAACCGGCAAGGUGGAAGCCAGAGAUUGGGUGUGUGGUGAAGAAAGGUUCCUAUAAGGAGGCGUGGGUGAGAGUGUUGGGACUUCCAUUGCACUUGUGGAGUCGGGAGUUUAUUAAGAAAAUUGGGGACUGUUGCAGAAAAUUUGUCCCAGUGGAUGAAGACCUGACAGAUUUAAAUCAGUUGCGGUGGGCUAGGAUCCUAGUGAAACUGGAUGGGAGGGCUUUGCCAGCCUCACUGCAGGUGGUGAUUGGAUCUCCAAGUUUCUCUAUCCAGCUGUGGUGUGAAAUUCCUCCAAAGUUUUCUAAAGUGAUCCUGAGAAGUUGCAAUAGUGGGUCACAAGAUUUGGAGAUUAGGGGUGACAAGGCAGGUGGCUCAUGCACGGGCAAAGGCGUGAGGAAGGAAAUGCACCCAUUGCAAAUUGAUGGGGUGGACGUGUUGACCCUUAGUGGGAGGAGAGUCUAUUUUGGUGAAAGUGCAGCUUUCUGCAUUUCGAAAGCUACUGCAGGAGGGAAAGGAAAUGGAGGUUGUGGCAGGGUCACUUCAGAAGGGGGAAGGGAUGGUUUGGAGGAGAAUGUAGUUAGGAGUUUUUGGAGGGGAGGUCAGUGGAUCUCAGUUGGCAAGCUCAUUGACAUUUUAAAAGGCCCAUAAGCCCCUAGGAUUUGAGAAGGGAGAGGGUGUUAUUUUGAGCUGUGGGCCUAGGAGUGUGGGUUUAAGUUAAAGGAAGCAUAGAAAGUGUGGGGGAGAAGUGUGGGGGCAUGGAUUGCUCCUUAGGGCUCCUGAGUGGGGGAGUUGGUUCUUCAGAGGACUUUGUGUCGGAGAAGAGAUCUUCGGAGAUGUUUUGGACUGCAUUCAUCGAUAAGGCUCUCCAGGCUGAGGUGGCCUAGUACCUGCCUUUCUCUCCUUCCUCUUUGGUCCUUUUGGGGGUGUGAGGUCUCUCUUUUUCUACUCCUUUUCGAGAAAGGGUUUUGGCAGAGGCCUAUGUUUCUGGUUGUGGCCCGGGCAUAGGAAGUGGAAGCUAGCUUUCGUCCUUUUAGAAUGAUUAUGCCUGAUGGUAGCUCUAUGGUGUGUUCUUUUGGGGUGAUAGGGCUCUAGUAGUGGUAGGAAACAAAAGUCAAGAGGAAAGGGACGUUGAGGCGGGGCAACUAGAGGAUUAGGAGGAGACAGAUGAGGGUUGGUACUCAAGUUGCCUUGCUCAGUUUAGAAGUUUUCUAGGAAUGUCGACUAAGGGUUAUGAGGAGGAAAUCUUAGCUCUACUCAAAAAAUUGAAAAUGAGGAAGGAUCAAAAGACACAAUUGGUUGGCACUAAAAGGAGUAAGCUUGGGUCUUCAAGGUUAGAUAAGGAGCUUAGAAGGUUGGAGUGCUCAAUUAAAUUCGUUCAGGUUGUGGAAGAGUUAACUCUAAAGAGAGUUGGGUUUGGUUUUUGUUAGUAAAUAAGGCUAAAAAUUCUAUCUUGGAAUGUAAGAGGGGCUAAUGAUGGCGAUAAAAGAAAAAUCAUCAAGUCAGUGAUUAAGUCUCAGAGAGCAGAUUUGGUUUGUUUAUAGGAAACCAAGUUCCAAAGCCUGUUUUGUAUUUUGAUUCAAUCACUAGGGGUGGGCAAGUUUUUGGAGUAGAGCACUCUAAAUUCUUGGGGUAUGGCUGGGGGGUUCUAAUUUUUUAGGAUAACAGGGUGCUGAAACUGAAUGGUAUGGAAAUUGGGGAGUUUUCAAUUUCCUAUCGGUUUAAAAACAUUGAGGAUGGUUUUUGUUGGGUCUUUAUAGGGGUGUAUGGCCCUACUAAUAGGAGGCUUAGAGAAGCUUUCUUGGAGGAGUUGGGGGCUAUCAAGAGUUUGUGGCAAGAUCCUUGGUAUAUAGGAGAAGGUUUUAAUGUAAUUAGAUUCAUGAGAGAACGGAUCAAGAUUUAAAGGUUGUCCUCAACAAUGAGAAGAUUUUCAAAAGUCAUUAAAGACUUGGAACUACAGGAUCUCCCUUUGCAAGGGGGUUCCUUCACGUGGAGGGGCGGUUUGAACAAUCAAUCUCAGUUAAGAUUGGAUAGGUUCUUAGUCUCCGAGGAUUGGGAAUGUUAUUUCAGUGGGAUUGCACAAUGUCUUCUUCACAGACCUGUGUUUGAUCACUUCCCAAUUGUGUUAAAUGGUGGAGGCUUGAGGAAAGGCCCAUCCCCAUUCAAAUUUGAGAAUAUCUUUGUUAAAGGAGAAUGGUUUUAAGGAUUUGCUAAGAAAUUGGUGUUGGGUUUCCAUUUCAAAGGGGCCUUUAGUUCAUUCUAUUUGAAAAACUAAAAGCACUAAAGGCUAAGUUGAAGGCUUCAAACAAAGAAGUGUUUGCCAGUGCCACUGCUAGAAAGGAUUUGUCCUUGAAUCAGAUGAUGUUUUGGGAUGCUAUGGAAGGGACUAGGGCUUUGUUCGUGGAGGAGCAGAACUUUAGGAAGCAGGCUAAGGUAGAGUAUUAGAAGUGGGUGCUGAUGGAAGAAANNNNNNNNNNNNNNNNNNNNNNNNNNNNNNNNNNNNNNNNNNNNNNNNNNNNNNNNNNNNNNNNNNNNNNNNNNNNNNNNNNNNNNNNNNNNNNNNNNNNUAAGAGAAGAAACUCCAUGGUGAAGAUCAAGAUCAAUGAGGCUUAGGUAAUAGAGGAGAGAGAGAUUAAAGAAAGGGUGGUAUUGAUGUUCCACUCUCUUUUGCCCAAAACAGGGGAGUGGAGACCAAGCUACAAUGAGUUGUCAGUUGAGGCUUUAGAAGGUGAGGAUGCAAUGAUGCUAGAGGUCUCGUUUUUCGAGGAAGAGGUGUUUUGUGCUCUCUCAGAUCUUAUGGAGAUAAAGCUCCUAGUCCUAAUGAUUUUUCUAUGGUGUUUUAGCAAUUUAGCUGGGAUUUUUUAAAGGAAGAAGUUAUGGCGUUCUUUAGGGAAUUUCAUUAGCAGGGGAGGUUUGCUAAGAGUAUUAAUGCCUCUUUUUUGGUGUUAAUUCAUAAGAAAGGAGGAGAUGAAGAUCUUAAGGAUUUUAGGCCUAUAAACUUGGUGAGUAGCCUUUACAAGUUGUUAGCUAAUAGGUUAAAGAAGGUGGUGAUUAAGGUGGUGUCCAAUUCCCAAAGUGCUUUUGUGAAGGGUAGGCAAAUCCUUAAUGCUUCUCUAAUUGCUAAUGAAGCUAUUGAUUCGGUGCAGAAAGGCAAUGAUGGUGGUAUUCUUUGCAAGCUUGAUAUUAAGAAGGUGUAUGAUCAUGUUAAUUAAAAUUUCUUAACUUUGUUGCUAGAAAAGAUAGGUUUUGGUGUUAAGUGGAUCAAUUAGAUUCAGUGGUGUAUUUCUACAGUGAGCUUCUUAAUCAUUAUCAAACUCCUUAUGGUUUUUUCCAAAGCUUGGGGUUUGAGGUAAGGGGACCCUUUCUCCCCUUAUCUUUUUGUGAUUGUCAUAGAGGCCCUCAAUUAUUUGUUGAAGAGAGCUAAAGAAGGAGGGUUUUUACCAGGUUGGAAGAUCAGAGGUAGAGGAAGAGAGGGAGUGGAAGUCUCUCAUUUGUUGUUUGUUGAUGACACAUUAGUCUUCUGCAAGCCUUCUCUAAAUCAAAUUACUUAUUUGAGUUGGUCACUUAUGUGGUUUAAGGAAAGGUUGAAAUAUUCUUUUGUAUGUAAUCUUUGGUCUUGGGUGAGGGUUUCCUUAGCAGAGAGUCUUUCUUCUCUUGUAAGUUUUUUAGACUGGAUAGGCUCCUAGUAAGGGAAGGCGGUGUGUAUACUCCCUGUAUACUUCGAGGGCACUGGUUUUUUGGUGUUUCCUCUUUUUUAUUAAUAUACUUACUUUUCACUUAUCAAAAAAAAAAAAUGUUAGAGUUAAAGGGUAAAUUUGAAAAGAAAAAAAAAUGAGUUGAUUCUAGCGAGGAGAGUGAUUAGAGAAUUUAGAAGACUUGGAUCAAGAGUUUGGUUGCAAGAUUGGUUCACUCUUAUCUUCUUACUUAGGUCUUCCCUUGGGCGCUCAAUUCAAGUUUGUGGCAAUUUGGGACGAUGUGGAGGAGAAGCUUCGAGAAAGAUUAUUGAUUUAAAAAAGACAGUAUAUUUCCAAAGAGGGUAGGCUUACCUUAAUUUGUAGCACUCUUUCCAAUAUGUCUAUUUAUUUUGUCCCUGUUUUGUAUUCCAAGGAGAGUGCAAAUGAGAUUAGAGCAAAUCCAAAGAGAUUUUCUUUAGGGAGGAGGGACCCUUGAGCAAAAGCCUCAUUUAAUAAGAUGGUCUAUUGUCUGCUCAGAUAAAGGAAAGGGUGAUUUGGGAGUGAGGAAUUUGUUGUUACUCAACAAGGCCUUCUUGUGCAAAUGGAGUUAGCGUUUUAUAGUGGAGAGGGAGGCUUUUUGGAGGCAAGUCACUUGUGGUAAGUAUGGGGAAGAAGAGGAAGGGUGGCACUCCUAUGAAGUGAGAGAAAGGUAUGAGGUAGUUUAUUGAAUGCCAUUAGAAAAGAAUGGGAUAUCCUAGAUGGCAAUAUGGCCUUUUCUAUGAGGCGUGGGAGGAGGGUGAGAUUUUGGAAGGAUAAGUGAUGUGGUGACGAUUUGUCAUGCACCUCUUUUCCCUCCUUAUUUAUUAUAGCUUCGUCCAAGGAGACUUGGGUGGAGGAUGUUUGGAACUAUUCAGAAGGGAGAGUAUAGGCUCCCCCGCUUCUCUAAGCGGCUCAACAAUUGGGAGGUGGUUGUUAUGGAGUGUUUUUUUCAAAGAUUGCAAGGAAGGAGGAUGUGUAGGGAUGUGGAUUAUCAGGUAGUAUGGACAAAGUCAAAGGAUAGUAAAUUUACUAUCAAAUCUCUCUACAAGGCUUUGGAACCAGAAAAACAAAGUGAUUUCCUUGCAACUGUAAUUUGGAACUCAUGGGUGCUACCAAGGGUAGGUUUCUUUGCUUGGGAGGCUACUUGGAAUUAGGUCUUAACCUUGGAUCGGAUUCAAAGGGGAUGGUGGGCCUUGGCUAAUAGAUGCUACAUGUGUCUUUCAGAGGAAGAGUCACUUGAUUGCAUUCUUUUGCAUUGCAAUAUGGCAAGGAUUCUCCGGCACUUGUUGUUUUCUCUUUUUGAGAUGUCAUGGGUGCUUCCUUUCUCAAUUAGAGAAACAUUGUUAGGGUGGCACGGUUCUUUUGUGGGUAAGAAGAGGAAAAAAGUGUGGCGAGCUGCUCCUUUGUGCCCUUUCUGAACAGUUUGGAAGGAAAGAAACAAAGGACCUUUGAAAACGAGGGGAGUCCGGUUCAAGGGCUUAAAGUUUCUUUCCUUUGUAACCUUUAGGCGUGGGCUAAGGUAUAUUUAGUUUCCAGCCCUUCUUCCAUUGUUGAUUUUGUGGAUUGGUUGGGCUCUAUUUGAGGGAGUGUUGUUUUUUGUUGUUCCCCUUUUUCUUUUUUUGAGGCGCUCUUAAGCGUCCUUUGUAUACUUCCUGUGUACUUUUGAGUGCUUUUGUGGAGUGCCUUGUUUUAAUAUAUUGCUUUUUAACCAUCAAAAAAUGCUUUCUUUCAAUGCCAUAAAUUAUUACAACUACUUGAAGUAUAUGUCUAUCUCCUUUGCAGAUCUGGCACAGCAACAUGCCACACAAUAAAAUUGCUGACAGGAAAGGUCACCAGGGAUGGAUGAAAGAAGAAGGCAUGUACUUCAUUUUCCCUGGGGGUGGAACAAUGUUCCCAGAUGGGGCAGAACAGUAUAUUGAGAAACUCUCACAGUACAUUCCUUUAACUGGUGGAGUUCUAAGGACGGCUCUUGAUAUGGGAUGUGGGGUAGGAGCUGCUUUCCUGUGUUUAUUUGAGCUCUAACCAUUGCCCUUUUUUUCCCCUAUAUUUUUGGAAGAUCACUUAAAAUUGAUUUCUCUUGCAGGUUGCCAGUUUUGGGGGGUACUUACUAAAUCAAGGCAUUUUAACUUUCUCAUUUGCUCCUAGGGAUUCACACAAAUCACAGAUACAAUUUGCACUGGAAAGAGGAAUACCUGCACUUGUGGCAAUGCUUGGCACUCGUAGACUGCCAUUUCCUGCAUUCUCAUUUGACUUGGUGCACUGCUCUCGAUGUUUGAUCCCUUUUACCGCUUAUAGUGAGUUCUAUAUGCAAUGUGGCUAUUGAAAUUUACACUUCUUACUUGUCCUCCUACUUGCUCUGUAAUAAAAUGUUCUGGAUUUGCAGAUGCAACAUAUUUCCUUGAAGUGGAUCGGCUACUUCGACCAGGAGGGUACCUUGUAAUCUCUGGUCCCCCUGUACUAUGGCCUAAACAAGAUAAGGAAUGGGCAGAUCUCCAGGCAGUGGCAAGAGCAUUGUGUUAUGAGCUCAAGGCUGUGGAUGGAAACACUGCUAUCUGGAAAAAGCCUGCUGGGGAUUCAUGUCUCCCCAACCAAAAUGAGUUUGGGCUUGAAUUGUGUGAUGAAUCUGAUGAUUCAAGUUAUGCAUGGUAAUUGCCUUCAAAAAUGUAUUCUUAAUUUCUGAUUUCCCCUCCACAACUUAGAGUAUGAAAAUGGUUAUAUAUAUAUAUGUAAUUUUUUGUGGUCAUACUGUUAUGUUAUACUAUGUGUGCACUUUGUCUAUGUGUUGGAACUUCCUAGGUGUAAUUAAUAAACUCAACACCACACUAGUCUGAUCUAACACUGUUGACAAAUAUUCAUUUUCACCAAUUUUGUUGGAAUUGUAAAUUUAAGUUUGAUAAUCUUGCAGGUACUUCAAGCUUAAGAAAUGUGUGACGAGGAUAUCCUCUGUCAAGGAUGACCAGGUUGUUGGGAUGAUACCAAACUGGCCAGACAGGCUAACAAAAGCUCCCUCUAGGGCAACACUUCUGAAGAAUGGAAUUGAUGUAUUUGAAGCUGAUACUCGGCGGUGGGCAAGGAGGGUUGCAUACUAUAAAAACUCAUUGAACUUGAAGCUGGGGACUGCAGCUAUACGCAAUGUUAUGGACAUGAAUGCAUUCUUUGGAGGUUUUGCAGCAGCACUCACGUCUGAUCCUGUGUGGGUGAUGAAUGUUGUUCCUCCCCGCAAGCCAUCAACUCUGGGAGUCAUUUAUGACAGAGGUCUUAUUGGGGUCUACCAUGAUUGGUGAGUUACUGUGUCAUGUGCUACUCUUGUCUACGGAAUAAAUAUGCACCUGGGUUGAAAUGAAGUGUUUUAGAGUCAUAGAUUAGCCACCUUCAUAUCGUUUAUCAACAGAAAGUUUGCAUGGGUGGAUAUUCAUCAUGUCCAUAUCACACCAGGAUAUGGUCCCCUGUUUAUUACAAAAAAUAUGAAAGUUGGUAAGAUAAUUAGGAUUCCUAGAUAGUGAAGUGAUGGAAUAGAAGCUUCAUCAUGCAAAUCAUUACCCUGAACCAUAGUUCUAUGCUUUCAUCUCCUUGUCUUUCUUACAUGCCUACAUGGACACCUUUUUAGUUGGUUCUUCAAUCUGCAUUUCUUAUAGUAGCAUAAAACUUGCUCUGUUGGUUUUUUAAACUGCUUGAAUAUCCUUGUUUUGAUUACUAAAUUAAGGAUCAAAGAGAUGGUAAUUCACCUACAGAAAGGGUUUGGAACUGAAGGGAUCCAAACCUUUGAUGGAAUGAUGCUAAAAACCAGGGUUAUUUACUGGGCUUGAUUUCUUUCCAAUAUGCUUGUCUCCUAGAUUGUGUCAUUGCUUUUUGUUGAUGACUGGGAUUUAAUGCUCACAACCAGUCUGUAGAACAGUGAAAGCUAAUAUUCAUGAGGAAUUUUUCUUACUAGCUAUUCUUUGUGAUUGGUGCUGAUAGGUGCGAGCCAUUCUCAACAUACCCUCGGACUUAUGAUCUCAUCCAUGUAACUAGUAUCGAAUCAUUGAUAAAAAUUCUAGGUUCUGGCAAGAACAGGUACUCUUUAAAUUUAUGAUCUCAUUCUCCAUAACUUAUUUCUAACCUGUUUCUUGAUUUCUUAGCAUUUGUUUGGAUUUUUAGUGUAGUGUGGCAAUAUGAUCUUUUUGUCAUAUUCUAUUCAGAAAUAAGAAGUUUGCCUGCUAUUAUUCAAAAGCUUUUGGUAAUGUCAUAUAGCAGGCAUUUACUAUUCUGUGAUCUCUUUCCUGCUUGAAAUAAAGUAAUCUUUCCAUUGUAAUAAAGGCCCCCGAAUACAAAAAAUAAAAACUUGGUUGAAACAACAUCGACAAGUAUUUGUAAUUUCAUUUGAUAAAUAUUGCAAUAUUGUUAUGUAAUAUGCUAUUGUAUGACUUGUUAGCUUAUAAGGAAAAAUAUGUUUUGUUAUACUCUUUAGAGAAAAAAUAGAAAAAUGAAAUUCUCUAAAAGUAAAUGAAAUUUUAUGCACGAUCGGGUCAAAGGUAGUACUGGUUUCUUAAUUCCUAAUUAUUUUGAGUUGAAUAUAUUAAGUUUGGAUUUUCUAAAUUUUGGUUUUCUUUUCCACAACGCUUUUCCGUAGUCUAUAGUAUAUGUUUUGCUAGCACCUUUUUAAAUGUAUGGAAUUGAUAGAUGGAAGGGAGGACUGUAUUCCAAAAGGCAAAUGAACCAUAAUUUCAUUUUAAUAGUAUAGAAAUGUUUAGUCAACAUUUACUAGUACGUUUUUAAAGUGCUCGAUAGGAUCAUGAGGUUGACUGAUUGGAAUUACCACUUUUUGAACUCACUUGCAGGUGUAACCUUGUGGAUUUGAUGGUGGAAAUGGAUCGAAUAUUGCGUCCAGAAGGAACAGUUGUGAUUCGAGAUUCCCCUGAAGUUAUAGACAAAAUAGGUCGCAUAGCACAGGCUGUAAGGUGGACGGCAACCAUACAUGAGAAAGAACCCGAAUCUCAUGGAAGGGAAAAAAUCCUUGUUGCAACCAAAAACUUUUGGAAGCUACCUUCUGCAUCCCAUUGACAUAGCCUCCUGUUCUUUGUAAUGUAGGUAUUUCCCCCAUCUCAUCUUUUUUUCACCUUUAUUUAAAGCCAAGGUUUCAUCUCCAUGCAUCAAACGAUGCAAUUCCCUCUGUUAUUUAUAUCUUUAUUUUGAUUUUUCUUGUAGUAAGAGAUAAGUGGGAUCAGAGUGAGGAGGAAAAGGUACAUAAAACUGGAAGGCUUGUGCAGUGAGUUUUGUAUUAGAAUACACACCCUUCUGCUUUAAGAUCAACUGUAAUAUGACAUUUUAUUUCUCAUCUUACAAUCAACACAAGUGCUGCAUCAUCUUCAUUUACCUUCUUCAUCAUGAUGGUCCAUCAUUUCUGAUCAAACAAACAACUCUUAAUAGAAAUCAUGCUCCAUUUGAUCCUCAUUUGAUUUGGGUGUUUGUCUCCUCUCCUUCUCCACUCCAUUCUUUUAAACCUUCUCUGCAGGUUUAAAUGAGACGUAAACAAUGGCAGAAAUGAAAUUAACCUCUCAUUCCACCCUGUGUUCCAGCUUUCCAAACACGAUCCCAUAAUUUCCCUAAAGUUUUCCAGGUCUUUGGAAGCAUGGAAAUGAAUAUUUAUUUCUAGUUGAAGACAUUAAUUGAUAUGAAAGCAUCUGAUAGAUGGGUAGAUUAUUCAUGUGGGUUGAAUUAAUGGCUGGGACUUGGGAGUGGGGGCGCGGUCGUUGUAUGAGAAUUUAAGUGAAGCUGCAGAGAAAAAAUAAAACAAAACAAAACGAAAAUGAUUGAGCAUAUAAAAGAAAAGUUACUCCUAACUUUUAAUAUCAAAGAAAGAGACGAUGUUAAAAAAAUAAAUGUGGAAAGGAUAAUGAAUUUUUAGUGUCAUUAACUUAUGAUUAUUAUGAUUGUUAUUAUAGGGUUGAGUGUUUGUAGAGAGAUUAAAUGCAGUGGGAGUUAUUUAAGCAUCAACCUCACCAUAACUGCAAUGCACCCACGGCCUCCUACCACCAAACCAUCAACCACACCAUCAAUGCAUUCAAUUUUUCUCCAUCAUCUCCGUACUAUGAAAAACACUCUUGACGUUGCCACAUCACCAGACCUCCAAGCACUGAUUCUAAAUAAAAAUAAUAUUAAUAUCAUAUAAAUUUUGUUUAUAAUUGUAAAACAAUCUUCCCCCUAUCUUUUAUACUCUUUUUUUUAUCAAACUCAAAAGUUUCCCUUGAAUUGAAUGAGUCAAAUAAAUUUUAAGCAAAAUUUUUUAGUUUUUGAAGUACAAAAUAUCAAAAACAUUUUUUAAAAAAUUGUUUUCAAAGGCAGUUUUGUAAUGUUUUUUUAUCUGUAUUUCUAAAUAUUUCUUAAAAAUGAUUUUUAUUUAUAAUGUUUUAUUUUCAAUGAUUUGUAAUAACAUUAAAAAUUAUUCAAAAAACUAUUUUUUAAAACAAUUUUUUUUAUGUUGAAAUUAAAAUAGUUCCCAAAUAUGCUCAAAUUCUUUCAUUCUCGGCAAAACAAAGAGUUAAAAAGAGUCCAAAAACAAGGGCAAUAACCUUUAUUUUAUAAACCAUAAGAUAUUUAAGAAAUAAUGCUACCCACAAAAAUUCAAGUGAUGUAGCUGAAGCUGAAACUUCCAAAUAAAUGACCACCCAACAAAGCAAUUGGCUGUCUGAAAAUACGCAAUGAUUUCAAAAAAUGUCCCCAUUUCAUAUGCCUAUGCAACAGAGCCCAGUACAUGCCCUCCAGAGUCUAAUCUAAAUCAAUCAAUUGAUUCAUCUGCCACCUCCCUUUUCCUCCACCUUUGUUUCCCUCUGUAUAUAUUUUUUGUUCUUUUGUUUCAGGCUUUGGAUCUGUUUGUCUCAAAUAAGCAUACAUGGAUGAAUCUUAUGUAAGAUCCAAACAUUAUAUUUUGGGGUCUGAACCCAGUUCAAUUAUGACUCUACCCAAUCCUUUAAUGGACCCAUUCUAAGAUCUAGACUCAACCCACGUCACCUUGCAAUUAUAUGAAGUGUGAUGGUGUGAACAAUGCCCCUUCAUUCCCCUCUUUGACCCACAAGUAUUUUGCUUUUCAAUUCAAUUAUGACCCCUUUUCUUGGGGUCAUAAUAUUGUUCCAAGGUUUCAAUUAUUUGGCCAAUUUCAACAAUUUAGGCUAUUUGAAUGAAUUUAUUAGUGUCUUCAAAAACAUAACAUGAUAUGUUGCACCAUUGGGGAUGUGUUCUUGGCGUUUAUGAGUGCACACUUUAUUUUAUUUGUGUAACACAUUUUUAAAUUGUAAGAUUUAAUUGAUUUAAAAGCAAAUACUAAGGCGUGAGAUUGUAUCAAAACCAACCUCUUAUAACAAGUAUAGGAAAUUUGGCAUUGUGAUGACUUCUCAUUUAGUUUGUGUAGACGAAAUUUUAAAAUAAAAGAAAUAUUUAUGAGGUUUAACUCAUUUGGUUUUAAUAGACAAUUUUUAAAGUUAUAUAGACUAAUAGGUCCAAAGUAACUUAAUAGUAUCCAUACAAAUUAUGUUUUGGGCUAAUUGACUUAAAGUGAAUGAUAUCUAUAUGAAUCAUGACGGAAUAUCGGCUUUAAAAUACGUUCACAGGUUAGGAACUUUCCCCCCUAUUCAAUAGCAGAUACAACAUCUUUGUUGUAUCGAUACCAUUUGUAAUAGUCUGCUCCCAAUCGUAUAGAUAUUAUCCAUUUUUUACCAAAAGAGGUCCUCACAAUCUUAAAAUAUUAUCUAUAAGGUUACGAAAAAUUCAUACUUAUAUAACAUCAGAAACUUUCUUCCUUAUCUGAUAUGGGAUGUCACAAUAAACCCAUGAGUGAUCGAUUUUCAAAGUCAUUAAAGUUAAUAGAUUAAAAUAAAUACUAUCUAUUUUAGUUAUAAUAGAUAGUAUCAAAAUCAAUCUUUAGUGAAAAAUGAAGGUGAGUUUGAAAACAAAAAUUAAUAACUAAUAAUAAAAAUAAUAAUAAAGAAGGUCCAAAAAAUGAAGGUGAAGGCGCGUGGACGUCAGAGAAUGGGAGGUGACAAGCCUCGUGGGAAGAGCAGGCGCCUAACGAGCUCAGUGGGCCAGCAUGCAUGAGGCCUGUCACGAGCAACUCCAUGCAACACACCUUCCUCCUCCGUCUCCUUCCUCCUUCUUCUUCCUUCCUUCCUGAGUCCUUCUUUCUUCCUAUUUUUCCAUUCACAAAGCUGGUGGGUGGUGGCCCCAUUCAUCUGGACAUUGCUUAGCCUGUAUCCAUAACUCUUUUCUCCCUCUUUUUUUUUAUGACUCUAUGACAGGAAUUUUAGAGAGUGAAGAAGUAAGAAAAAAUUUAGAGAGAGGAAGUGGGCCAUGACCUAUGGUGGCGCCACCGCUCCAUACCAUCAAGCCCCACCCCCCCUAGCUUUUCAUAAAUUGCGUAUUCUAAUCAAACUGCCUUUAAAUAUUAUUUCAUAUUGGGUUUGUCGUUUCUAUUUUUUAAUACGAUUUUAUUGUAUUAAUAUAAGAAUUAUUUAAUCAAAAGGAAUGAAAUCAUCCCAAUUAUAAGAGUCAUUCAAUCAAAAAGGAAGAAAUCAUACUCAAUUUUUAAUACAAUUUUAUCGCAAUGAUACGAGGAUCCUUUAAUCAAAAGGAUGAAAUCAUACCCUGAUUUUUAAUAUGAUUUUAUUGCAUUAAUAUAAGAAGUUAUUUGAUUAAAAAUGAUGAAAUCAUCAACAAUUUAUAAAUCUAACCCUUUACUUUGAUAUUUAAGUAAAAAAUAGUUUACUUUUUAAAUUUGAAAGUGAAUAAAGUUUAGAAUUUUAAACUUGAAAUAUUUUCAUCAUUUUAAUUAAUUAAUUCUCGACAAAACACGAAUAUUAUGAUAUUAUUUUUAUUAUCGAAUAUUCUUAAUUUUAUGAUAAAUAAAUUAGAUAUUUUUUACAUUAAUUGGGCAUAUUUUAAAAGGGGUAGCUGAUCAUGGGGUCUGUAUUUGGAUUAUUGAAAACAAAGUUAAGGAAAAUGAUAGCCUUAUGAUUAGGUGAUGUUUAGCUUUGAAUUAAAAAAUUGAUUUGAUAAUACUUGAUAAUAUAUUAUGCAAUAAAAAGUGACUGUCGGAAGAAUAGCCAAUUAAGGGUCCGUUUGGAAGUUAUUGUGAUUAAAACCUUUUUUAGUUAUAUUAUUUUUAUUAUUAACAUUUUUAUUGAAAAUGGUUUCUUUUUAAAAAAAAUUAGGGUUGGUUUGGAUACAUUUUCACUUUUAUAUUUUUUAAAUUUCAAAAUAAUUUCAACUUUUAUAUAAGAGGUUAGGUUGAAAAAGUAAUAAUUUUAAAAAUCAUUUACAAAAAAAUUUACUUCCUUAAAUUUUGAAAAUUUUAAAAAUGUGAAUUUAUGUUUUUUAUACAUAAUUUUUACGUAAGUUUAUGAUUUUAAAAAUAAAAUAUGGAAAAUGUAUUUAAACGAAUAUUUAAAGCUUGUUGGAUAAUUGUUUUUGAAAACAAUUCUGAAAAACGGUUUUUAAGAAUAGUAUUUAACAUCGUUCUCCACUGUUUGGUAAAAUAAAAAUUGAAAAGCUUAAAUGUUUUCAAUCUAUUUUUAAUAUUUUUAAAUAUACUUUAAAAAUAAUUUUUAUGUCUGAUAUUUUAUUUUUAAUCACUUUAUGUAUAAUUAUUUUUUAAAACAAUCUUCAAAACAAGUGAAAACAAUUAAAGGGUGUUAUUUGAAAACAUGUAUUUCUAUUUUUUUGCAAACAAAAAAAGUUAUUGAUUCUCAAACAUAUUUUCCUAUUUUUAAGUUCUAAAGAGUAUAAAAUUAUUUUCGAAAACCGUUACCAAAAAAACCUUAUAGUAUUUAGAUAUAAAGUAAUAAAAAAAUAUUUUUAAGUUUUAAUAACAAAAAUCAACCCUUGUAUCUUUUCUUUUUUCUUUUUUUUUUAUCAAAACCAACAACAUUACUAUUUUGCCCUAAAUAUUUAAUAAAUAAAAAAAAUCAGAAACCACUGAAAAUUAAUCAACUUUUUGUUCUAUUAUUGAAAAUAAUUCACCAUGAUUACUAUAUUUUGUUCUAUUGUUUACAAAAUUAAAAACAAAAAAAAAUCACAUUUUUUGUUUUAUAAUAAUAAAAACUAAAGUUUAUCCGAAUUUUAAAAAAUGUUAAAAUUAUUAUGUCGAAAAUUAAUAAAAUUUUGGACAGAAUUUUUCAAUACCAACCAAUUAAAGUGAACAACUUUGUCAGUACCACAUACAACUAAGAACAUUAAUUGGGCAUUUGAAUGUGUAGUGGAAAGAAAAAUUAAUGAAUGUGGUUGAGUUUUUCACAAGUUGAAGUCAUCACACGCCACCAAAAUUAAAUAAAAAUGAUAAAUCAUAAGUAAUUGCUUCACCUAACAUUUCUUUAUUUAUUAUUAAUUAUUAAUUAAUUUUAAUUUGUCAAAAACUUUACCUUAAUAGUAAGUCCAACCAACCCAAUUCUUGUAACAUCUUCAAUGUUCUAAGCAUUCAAUAAGCAUCAAAUUAAGAUGUAAAAAGGCACAAAUGAUUGGACUCAUUAAUUUUAAUCAUGAUCAUUAGUGUGAUUCAUUGUUUAUAAUAACUAUGGAGUAAACAUAUCCCAAUUCAAUUUUACCAGGGGACAAAAUUUUUUACAAAUUAUAAUAAUAUAAUUAAAAUAGGUAUCUUAGGUUAAAUUAUUAAUAUUUUCAUGCAAAUGUGUCAUGAAAAUAAUUAAAAGAGAGUAGGUAUGAAAGUAUAGUACAAACGUGGACCACCACAUGAAUUCAAUUCUAUUUUUGUAAUUGAUAUAUUAAUUUAAUUUUUUUAAAUUAAUUUUUAUGCUUGUUUCCAUAAUAAUAAUAAUAAUAAUAAAAUUAAAAUUAAAAAAUUAAUUAAUUAAUUUAGUACCAAAAAAAAAAUACUUUAGAAAAUAUCCUUGAAAAAUAAUGUAGAUAUAUCUCUGGACCGCUGCACUGACCUCUUUAUUUGAAAAUGAAAGCCCUUAUUAAAGGAUAUAAAUUAUAUUAAUUAAUUUUGCUUUUAUAUUUGGUAAAACAUCUUUAUGAUAAUCCAACUAAAAGAAAAAUCAACAUGUUUAUCAUGCAAAAUAUCAUUUAAUUGAUUUAACUUUCCACCAUAACAAGUUACAAAUUUAGACUUUGUUAGAUUGUAAUUUUAGAAAGUAUUUUUUAAAAAAUAAAAUUAAGGUAGAAUACAUUUGACAAUGUUUUUGCACAAAAUGUUUUUAAUAAAAAUGUUUUUCCUGAGAUUGUUUUUAGGAAAAUCACUUAUCGAGGGUUUCUCUAUAAUUUUGCAAUACUAUAAUUAUUUUUUAGAUUUUUAAAAGUGUUUCCUAAAUUUUAUCAAACAAUUAUUUUUUUUUUAAAAGAACACUUUUUAGGUUAAAAGUAUUUUUUAAAAUCGUUGACAAACAAAGUUUUUAAGUAUGUUUGAGAACUAUUUUUAAUAACUAUUUUUUGUUAUUUAAAACAAAAAAUUAGGAAAACACGUUUGAGAAUCAAAAAUUGUUUUUUUUUUUUUUUAUGAAGAUAAAAUAUGAUGUUUUUAGAACAUCUUUUUAUUUUUUAUUUUUUCCCUUGUUUUUUAAAGAUUGUUUUGAAAGGUAAUUAUACAAAAUAAUUAAAAAUAAAACCGUAUAUAUAAAAAUUAUAUUUAAAAACAUUAAAAAUAGAUUUAAAACCUUUUAGGUUUUUAAACAGACUUUUAUUUUAUAAAAUAUUAUAAAACAAUUUUUAAAAGUUGUUGUCAAAAAUUAUUUUUUAGAACUAUUUUAAAAAAACAUAGACCUUAGUUAUUGAUUGAAUUAUAAGUACAAAUUUUAUAGAUAUAUUUUUUACUAUUUUAGCUAGUUCUUCCUUGUAAUUAGUCUUGGUUAGGAAAAAAAAUAAUUAAAAAUCUGAAAUUUCCCACAUAAUAUUUUCAUUAAAUAAAAUAUCAAAUAAAGUGGAAAAAGAUCAUACACCAAGUUGUUGGGGGCAUUAUUCUAUUAUGAUGGCAAAAAAAGACCACAUUUUAAUUGAAUAUCUCUUAAAUACGACAAUAAAUUUACACCAAAUCACUUACAUAAUAAAUAAAAAUAGAUUGGAUUUAUUUAUUUAUUUUAAUAAUUAAAAAUACCAAAAGGGAAAUUGUAAUUUGGGUUGUCCUCACAUUUAUUGGGCAACCAAUAUAUGAACCCAUUUGCAUUAUAAUUACCUAAAAAUAACUCAUACUUCAAUGUUUGAUAUCGUAUAUAGUAAGCUUUAUGUGCUUUUACUCCUCCACAUGGGUUGUCUUACAAAUUUAUAAAGCAAAACAAUUUGGGAAUAUUAAAUAAAGUAAAAUUAUUAUUAUUAUUAUUAUUAUUAUUAUUAUUAUUGUUAUUUUAUAGUGUAAUAAAUCACUUUAUGAAGGUGACAAUAAAUUUUAUUAUAAAUAUCCUAGGUUUUUGAAUAAUGUAAUUAAAGCAACUUUUUAACAAAUAUGGGAUAAAAAUAUUCUCAAUUUAAAACAAUUUUGUCAAUUAUUUAAAGGAAACAAUUUGGAGUGGUAGUUGUGAAUGGUGGGAAAAUCAUGUCAAAUAUUUCAUGUCUUUUUUUGUUGUUCAUUGGAGGCUGUCCCAUUAUGAAUGAAUAAAGCUUUGGAGUGGCAUGUUGUAUCCUUUUUGGCAGUUUUAAGGGAAGAUAUUUUCAACAUUGUAGAUUGGAAUAAAAUAUAUUAAUAGAAAUUGUUAUUUACUACCAUUAUGAUCAUAAACAUUUGUAUUUUUAUUGUUCGCUAUCGUUUAACAAAUACUUUACUUUUCCUCUUUAUUAAUUUAUUUGACUUUAUACAAUAUUCAUCACAUGAUCAUCUAGAUUUUCAGGUAAAACCUUUUAAGAUUUUUCAUUUAAAUUUAAACCUGAUUGAUGUUUUAAUUUUAUGAGUAAAACAAAAUCCUCAAUCCAUAAUUUUUCUCUCGAAACAUCUUUUUUACUUUUCUCUUGUUUUUCUUAAGUCGGAUUUUCAGACUUAUAAAUUCAAUCCAAUAAUUAAUAUCAAAACUCUAAAAAUAUAUCCCAUUUUUUGACAAGAUAACUUGAUUUUAUCCAAGGUUUGUAACAAUUUACAUUCAUUAAUUUUAUGGUAUUAUGGGACUUUUUUUUUUCCUUUUUUCUCUUAAUCAUAAAUUAUUUUAAAUGAAUUGUGUCACAAGAUAAAAUAAAUGAAUAGUUUAAAUUUUAUAAGACAUGACUAACUAGAAAAGUGAAAAGUUGAAAAAGUGAUUUCAUUGAAUGUGACUUUAAUUUAAAUAGUGAUGGGUGCUAUGAGUUGCAUGUUAUUUCUUGUUCAUGUAUUGAGUUUCUUACCAACCAAUUCUCAAGAUUGUAAUUGACUCUCAUCAAUGUUCCUAACAAAUUUUUUUGUCAAUUAAAUUGCUUUUAUGUCACUUCCUUUAUUUUUUAAUAAUUUCCCCCCCUAUUUAUCUACUUAGCACACCAUUGUUUUCACAUUGUGUUAUCCCUUCAAUAUUCACCAUGAUUUUACCAAUAAAAUUUAGUAAUUGCCCUUCAUGUGGUUUGGCAUCAUAAUGACCCUCAAUUAAACUCAUCAAAAUAAUAAUAAUAAUAAUAAUAAUAAUUUAGUAUCUUAAAAAAAAUUGAUAUUAAUAUAUCGGAAUGUUUAAGAGACGAUUAAUUUUUCGAGAUAAAGAGUAUCAUAAUGAGGUGAUUAAUUAGCACAAAAAAUAAUAAAAAUUACGAAAAUUUAUUUCAUUGCACUACACUCAACGAACUACAAUGAAGUAGAUGUAGUGAGAAAUUUGUGCAUGCCACAGUGCACGUAAAUAAUUAUGUAAGUUCCAUAUAACAACUAUUUAUUAAUAUGAUUCGAUUUCGAACAUAAUCGAUCAUUUAUGAUAAGAUGGACUUUUCCUUCUAUUCAUCAACAUGAAGCUUGGAGUCAAUAUUUUGGGCUUAAUUUCCAUUCAUUGAAGGAUAAUGUUUUGAUUAAAGACAUGAGUGCACGUAAACAAGAUUUAAUUAACAUGUAACACAUGAUUGAAGAAACUUUGAUAUUUCAUUUUUUUUUAUUACUAAGUUUUAUAAUUAUGGUUUUGAAAAAUAUUAAAAGCAAAUUAAUUAUGAUAUAUAAUUAUCCUUUAUUUAUUUGUGGUCUAACAAAACUUGGAAGCAGAAUUGUAAAGAAAGAUUAACAAUAUUUUUAGUAUUUAUUUCCCUUUAAAAAAUAAUAAUAAAUCAAUGGGUAUGUUUGGUUACUGUUUUUGAAAACUGUUCUGAAAAAUAGUUUUUAAAAACAGUUUUUUCUAUUUUCAGAAAAAAAAAUUGUGUUUGUGAACUGAAUUAUGAAAAACAGUUUUUAUUUUUAAAAAAAAUAUGUUUUAUUGAGUUAAUAAAAAAAUUUGUUAGAAUAAGUAAACCAAAAAAUAUGGUUGAAAGUUAUUUUUUUUAUUAAUAAAGUGUUUUUUUGGUUAAGUUGAUAUUAUAAAUAUAUAAAUAAUUUUUGUUAUUUAUAAAUAUAUAAAUAAUAAUUUGAUAUUUUUUUUAAUAAUUUCUAUUGGAAACACAAAAAACAGUUUGAAAAAUAUAAAAAGAAGAAAAAUAAAACACGAAAAAUAAUUUAUUUGAUGAAUAGUAAAAAAUAAUAAAAACAUUAUUUUAUUAUUCUAAAAAAAUGGUUUUUGAGAACAUAAAAAACACAAAAAAUAAAAACGUAUCCUCUUUCUCAAAUAAGUUUUUUAUAUUUUUUAUUUUCAAGAAAAAAAAAUACUUAUUAAAAACAGGAACAAACAGCCCUAUUAUUUUCAAAAUAUAUAUUUGGUAAUCUCUAUCUCCCGAUAUUUCUAUUUUUCAUAUAUAUUUUUUUAAUUUCCAUUUGAAGUUUUAGCCAUAUUUACUAGAAGGUAAGCUGUCACGGACGGCGCGGCCCUUCAUAUCACCGUGGGCAAAACAGUCCUUUUACCAUUCCUUCAAUCAAAGUAUUACUGAAUUUACUAGCGAGUUCAAAUCUCCUACGCCGAUUCGCGCCGAUAAAAUAAAUAUUUUUAGAAAAGGAAAAUUCUGAAAAUAAUCAAAUAUAUUUAUUUAUUACAGUAUAUAUAUGAAAUUUCAAGCCUCGAGCACCAAACUGAAACCGUCAUUUCUACAUCAAGUGAAAAUUGCAGGAAUUGCAGGACGCCUCAUUGCCUCCGGCGACACUCACCGGAAAGGGUGAGCUGCGGCCACCCUCGUCAUUUUUUCCGGUCGGCGGUAAGCUUUUUUGCCUAGUUGCGGACUUUUCUAGAGAGAGAAUAGAGAAGAGAGAGAGGAUGGGGGAAAGCAUUGACCAAACAGUGCCUCUGGGGUCGUUUCGAGUCAGCCACAAACCCUAGAUUUUAUAUAAUAAUAUAUGAAUAUAUUUAUAUAAUAUGUGUGUUGUUACAGAUCCCAAAACGUGUAUGUAUAUGCAGAGUCGUAGAGAGAGAAAGCGAGUGAGUGAGAUCCACGGAUCUGAAGCUCUGUCUGUUUCUCUUUUACAGUUUUGUGAAAGAGGGUUAAAAAGUUGCUCAUUUCACUGUAUAACUUUUGGGGGAGAGAGAGAGAGUCAACCGACCCUUUUUCUGGGCAUUUGAUGUGUUGUGUAUUUGUAAGGCUUCGAAGAGUCCACAUAAUUGCGUUUUAUCUUCACCUUUUUCUCUUCCUUUUUUUCCUAUCUUCUGUGUUGUGUGCAAAUCUCUUUAAGCCCUUUUGGUUUCAGCCUUUUUUUUCUUUCUUAUUUGUAUUUUCAGUGCCUUAUAGUCAAGCAUGCAAAGCUCGAGACAGCAGACCAAGUACGAGUGCUAGGGGUUUUCCCAUUUUCGCAGAGAUAGUGUGGUAGAGAGGGAGAGAAGGAUAGAGAACGAAGAGCUAAGCAGGAGGGAAGGGUUAUUGCUAGCCUUCUUUCUCUUUCUUUCUCUCAAAGAAAACCAGGGAGAGGGAGUUGGAGACAAUUGGGUUUGGCCUUUUGUCUCCUCUAUCCUCUCUUUUUUUUUUCUUUUUUUGUUUCGCAGAUUUUUUCUUCUGCGUUUAAGCGCUGAUUUCAGGGUUGUUUUGAGAGACACAGCUUGUUUUCUGAAGCAGUUGGGUUGUGGAAUUUGUGCGUUGAAUGGAAAUGAGUGAAUGUGAUUGUGGUGUGUGUUUGGUUGACAAGUGGGUGUGAAUUUGUAGAGAAGAAGAGGGGAUAUCGGAGAGAGGUGGUGGGGAGGGGAAGGGUGUUUUGAGAGGGAAGAAAAAAAGGGGGUUUUUUUGAUGAGUUUUGGGGGUUUUCUUGACAAUAGUUCUGGUGGCGGUGGUGCAAGAAUCGUGGCUGAUAUACCUUACAGCAACAACAUGGCCACUGGUGCAAUCGCUCAGCCACGCCUUGUCUCUCCAUCUCUUGCCAAGUCCAUGUUCAGCUCGCCUGGACUCUCUCUUGCUCUCGUACGCUUCAUUUCCCUCACUACUUCUCUCUUUUUCUUUACUUUCUUGCUGAUUUUUGUUUCAACUGAUCUGGGUUCUCAUUUUUUUUCUUCUUUCUUUUUGGUGGUUUUUGAGCAGCAAACUAGUAUGGAGGGUCAAGGUGAGGUGACUCGACUGGCAGAAAAUUUUGAGUCCGGUGGUGGCAGAAGAAGCAGAGAAGAUGAGCAUGAGAGCAGAUCUGGAAGUGAUAACAUGGACGGUGCUUCUGGGGACGAUCAGGAUGCUGCCGACAACCCACCAAGGAAGAAGAGAUACCACCGACACACGCCUCAGCAAAUCCAAGAACUUGAAGCGUAUGAUCUGAUGUUCCAUAAAAGUUUUAGCCUAUUUCUUCGCCAGGUUCGUGUGUUAUGACCGAAUGUUUUCUGGUUGCUUUUGUUUUAGUCUGUUCAAGGAGUGUCCUCAUCCUGAUGAAAAGCAAAGGUUGGAACUCAGCAGAAGGCUUAGCUUGGAGACCAGGCAAGUGAAGUUCUGGUUCCAAAAUCGCCGUACCCAGAUGAAGGUAGUUAAUCCUAUUUUUGGAUUACCUCUUUUUGAGGACGUUUAUAUGUUUUAUGUUUGAUUUAGCUAAUGAAAUAACCAUGAAAUUUUGUUGUUUGCACCAGACCCAAUUGGAACGACAUGAGAACUCAAUUCUUAGACAAGAAAAUGAUAAACUUCGGGCUGAAAACAUGUCGAUAAGGGAUGCUAUGAGGAACCCAAUUUGCACCAACUGUGGUGGUCCGGCAAUUAUUGGUGACAUAUCUCUAGAGGAGCAGCAUCUUCGGAUUGAGAAUGCCCGCUUAAAGGAUGAAUUAGAUCGGGUUUGUGCGCUUGCAGGCAAGUUCUUGGGCCGUCCCAUUUCAUCAUUGGCUUCUUCUAUGGCCCCAGCAAUGCCCAGCUCUAGUUUGGAACUUGGAGUUGGAAGCAAUGGUUUUGGUGGUUUGAGCACUGUAGCAACAACAUUGCCUUUGGGACAUGAUUUUGGAGGUGGGAUUUCAAGCACGUUGCCUGUGGCGCCUCCAACAUCAACGACUGGUGUAACAGGCUUGGAGCGGUCUUUGGAGAGAUCUAUGUUUCUAGAGCUUGCUUUAGCUGCUAUGGAUGAAUUGGUUAAGAUGGCUCAGACUGAUGAGCCUUUAUGGGUCAGGAGCUUGGAAGGGGGACGGGAAAUAUUGAACCUUGAGGAAUACAUGAGAACAUUUACCCCUUGCAUUGGCAUGAAGCCCAGUGGCUUUGUCACCGAGUCUACAAGGGAGACUGGUAUGGUAAUCAUCAACAGCUUGGCUCUUGUUGAGACAUUAAUGGACUCGGUGAGUAAUUCAAGAUCUCUCUCUCUCUCUCUCCCCAUCUCUCCCUCUCCCUCCCUCUCUCUUUCUCUCGGAAGUAUACACUACAGUAAGUUUCACUAGAAAUUAGGAUCCUUGAAGUAGUUUUUGAGAGAAGUGCUUGUGGGGUUCUGGGUUUCUUUGGGAACUAAUUUGUGUUUGCAAAAUUGCCUAUUGGGAAUUGCAAUCUUGUGUUUGUGUACUUUUUUCUUUUUGAUUAAUUUUAAUUUGCUUUCUUCUGAAUAGAAUCGAUGGGCAGAGAUGUUUCCAUGUAUGAUUGCCAGAACCUCUACUACUGAUGUGAUAUCAAGUGGCAUGGGGGGGACCAGAAAUGGUGCACUUCAGCUGGUAAGUGUUUCUUCAACAACCAUACGAGUAGUCCUUUCAAUGUUUCCUUUAGGGUUUUCAAACAACUGUCUUUGAAGCAAAUUUAAAAUUAAUUUUUUUUCUCUCAGAUGCAUGCUGAACUCCAAGUCCUUUCACCUUUGGUUCCUGUUCGCGAGGUAAACUUCCUCCGCUUCUGCAAGCAGCACGCCGAGGGCGUGUGGGCUGUGGUUGAUGUAUCCAUCGAUACAAUUCGAGAAACAUCGGUUGCACCAACAUUUGUGAACUGCAGGAGGCUUCCUUCUGGCUGUGUAGUGCAAGAUAUGCCCAAUGGGUACUCCAAGGUAGCGUAUAUACAUCUCUUAGCCUUCUUUACAUAGUUCUAACUUGUUUUCUUUACAAUUAUUGAGUUUUUCCAAGUGGGUAUUCUUCCCCUUUAGCCUUUAAUGAGUUUGUUGAAGUAACUGCAACUUUGGAGCUUAGUUGAGAACAUUUAAUUGAGAAAAACACCAAGUCAAAAUCAUGGGCAUUUGCAUUCCCAAGCUAGUUGAGCUCAUGCAUCUAAGACUUUUGUUUGUCUAGCCAAUUGCUCGCAAAAUCAGCAUCAGUCACUGAUGGGUUAGGUUAGAAUCAAAUGUAAUAAGACUUUCCUCGAUGAAUCUGAACCUUCUUAAUCACUUAGUUUAUUGAUCUAGAUGCUUCUUCUGGUAUUAAAUUAUAUUUUAACCUUCCAAGUUUUGACAACUGGUGUUUCCUAAAAUUAGUUUAAUACUGCCACCGUACAGCAGAAAAUCGAGGUUGCCCACAUUAUAAUAUCAAUAGAAGCCUCCAUUACUCUUAUUUCUGUACCUUGAACACAUUAAUUUCAUAUCCUUUGUUGUUAAAUCCCUUGAAAUCUUCAACUUUGGUUGAAUAAACUAUGUAUUUGAUGUUUCUAUUCCAAUCUUUGAUGCUUUCUUGAUCAUCACCCUUCCCAAAAUUUAAUCCAUGGAACUGUGUAUUUCCUGGUUCCAGCUUUAAUGAAAUGUUUUUCUACUCAUCGAGGACCUUGUAGUCAAAACCCUGGACCUGUCUAUUUUGUUCUUAUGUGAGUAUCUCAUAUGAAUUAUUUAAGCUGAGUAGACUCAAGUACACAUCUCCAUGUCCCUCAUUUGGUCCACCUUGUUCUUCUAAAUAUUGCUGAACUUUAUAUUAUAAUACUUAAGAUUCCCUUUAUAGAAGGGCUUUAUGUUAUUAUUUCUCUCAUUGGAUUCAAUCCAUAUCCGAAAUUUGUGGUAAUAUUUCUUCGAUAUCAUUUUUUUUACUUCAUAUUUUAUGUUGAGGAUUCUUUUCUCCAUCUAUCUUUUUCCUUCCCGUCUCUCUCCAGUCUUGCUUAUGGGUGUUUCCCGUAUAUAAGUUUGUGUUACUGAGCAAUUGGCCUGAUCAUGGAAGAUUAACUAUACCCCGGAAAAUAUAAUCGACAAUUGAAAUGCAGGUUACAUGGGUUGAGCAUGCAGAAUACGAUGAGAGUGCAGUCCACCAGCUCUACCGGCCACUACUUGGUUCUGGCAUGGGGUUCGGUGCCCAGAGGUGGGUGGCCACCCUUCAAAGGCAGUGCGAGUGUCUCGCCAUACUCAUGUCCUCCACCGUGCCCACCCGGGAUCACACAGGUAGUGUCAGGAAAAUGCAGCUAGCUCUUUGUUAAAGCUUUUUUGAAUUUUUCGUUAGACAGUGAGAUCAAGGUCUAAUACGUGGUGCCGCCUUUUUGUUAAAUAUACUAGCAGCAAUAACUGCAGGCGGGCGGCGGAGCAUGCUGAAGCUGGCCCAACGAAUGACCGACAACUUCUGCGCCGGUGUCUGCGCUUCAACAGUCCACAAAUGGAACAAGCUGUGCGCCGGCAACGUGGACGAAGACGUGCGAGUAAUGACCAGAAAGAGCGUGGACGAUCCCGGGGAGCCACCGGGCAUUGUGCUGAGUGCAGCAACCUCGGUCUGGCUGCCGGUGUCUCCUCAGAGGCUCUUCGACUUCCUCCGCGAUGAACGGCUGAGAAGCGAGUGGGACAUCCUAUCCAACGGCGGACCCAUGCAGGAGAUGGCCCAUAUCGCUAAGGGCCAAGAUCAUGGCAACUGCGUCUCCCUACUCAGAGCCAGUGUAAGUAUCAAAUAUCUAUAGAAAGAGAAGUAUUAGGUAUCUCUAGGCCUAUACCAAAUAUUUUCGGUACAUAGGGGUGGUGGGUCCAAAUAAUAAUGCAUAGAGAAUGACGCAUGUGUCCCUGGGAAAUGGGGUUCAUUUAAUUUGUCGUGUAGGGAUAAAAGGUGAAUUGGGGAGGGGGGAGAUUGGAAUCUGGAAGUAUCCAUAAGGACAGUUGGGAAGCAGAUCCUAAGGACUGCCCUUGUUUUAACCUAUUGCUGAUGAUUAAAAAGUCAAAUUUGUUGGGACACUUGUGGCCUUUCUGGGGGGAUAGUAGGGGUAGUUCAAACGUCAUCGUUUCAUAACAGUUUUCAACUCCUUGGUUGACUCAGCUGCACUGUGCCCAGCGCCCACUUGCCCUCACAUGUCGUGGGUUCAGUCCUGGAUGGCAAUUUCCUGUAAUUAUCCCGAUUAACGUGGCCCAUUCCUGUCAUUUAAUUUUUUUUGGCUCUUUUCCCACCCCACAGGCAAUGAACGCGAACCAGAGCAGUAUGCUGAUUCUGCAGGAGACUUGCAUCGACGCGGCUGGGUCGCUUGUGGUGUACGCGCCCGUUGACAUCCCCGCCAUGCACGUUGUGAUGAACGGUGGAGAUUCCGCCUACGUGGCUCUCCUCCCAUCUGGGUUCGCCAUCGUCCCUGAUGGGCCUGGCUCUCGCGGGCCCAACUCUGGGGUCCACACCAACAGCGGAGGCCCAAAUAGAGUCAGUGGGUCCCUUCUCACCGUGGCUUUCCAGAUCCUUGUGAACAGUUUGCCUACGGCCAAGCUCACGGUAGAGUCGGUGGAGACUGUCAACAAUCUCAUCUCCUGCACCGUUCAGAAGAUCAAGGCCGCCCUUCACUGCGAAAGCUGAUCGUCAUGGACGGCGGGAUCAAGAGUGGCAGAAAUAAAAAUAAUGGGUUUCGAUUUUUUACUUUUGACAGGACAUGUUUGUAAUGGUGGUUUAGUUAUAGGAUGGAGACUCUCGAGCGUGGAGGUGCGGAAUGAGAGGAAAAAGGAGCUUGGUUAGCUAAAAAAAACAACUGGCAACUCGGGUGUGAGUCAAGAACGAACCGCGCGUGGAGAAUCCUUGCAGGGUGAUAAGAACAGUGGGGGACUGAGUUGACUCGGAGCGGAGUGUUCUUAGCACAAUGCAAGGGUGGUGGUUCGGGUAUUGACUCAGGUCGACCCGUGAGUUGACUCAAGUAGCUUGAAGCAUAAAUGAGUCAAGAAGGUUUAUAUAUUAUUAAAACAAGAAAAACUGAGACAAAAACAGGGAAAAAAAAGAGAGGGUAUUUUGGGUAUUGAAUUAUAUUUGACUGGAAAAUGUAGCGGCGGUAGUCGGCAGCUAUUUGUUUUUGAUGUUAUGUGUUAGCGUUCUGUUUGGUUCAUCUCAUUUGAAAAAAACUGAUCUGUUGUCGUGAUCUGAUACUUGAAUUUACCAUGUUACCCUUUACGUUCUCCUCUGUUUCCACUUUCCACGUCAUCAUUCAAUUCUCCAUGUCAAAAUGCAGUUUCAUGAAAAUGGUGUCUUUAUUUAAUCCAAAUUUAGAAAAAAUAAAUUAUUUUUACCGUUUUUAAUUUUUCUUUGAUAAACAGUGAUGAUAGGGGUGAUGGUGAUAAGGGAGAAUCGGGAGAAGAGAAAGGGAUGAGGGAGCAUUAAAUGAAGGAGCAGUAGGUGUUGGGAAAAGCGAUGCCAUCAUUUAAUGCUUAGUUCUUUGGAAUUGGCCUCAUUACCUGUACCCACCCAUUCAUUUUUGGACGCGUCACCUCCUCCUCAUCGCCCUUCUCAAUCUCGCCAUCCACUCAUACGUCCUUGUUUGGUUUCCUAGAAAAAAAUGCAUUUACUUUUCUAUGCUGCAGUAGAAAAUCCCUCUCCGGAUACGAUUAUUUUUGUGGGGUAACGCUUUUGUCUCUACCUGCAUCAUUUUCCUUUUUAUUUAGAAGGAAAUAUGAUUUUUCUAUAAUUCAGUCACUUGUCAGUGGACAACUCUUAACUUUUUUAUACUUUAAUUUCAAUUCCGUCUCUCUAUUAAGUUGUCAACUUUUUUCAUUCAGUGAUCGAAAGUUCAACUUUUAAAGUAAACCCUAUGAAUUAAUCUUUGUAAGGAUAUUCCUAAAUUUAAAAAUAAACCGUAUGAAAAUAAGUGUUAAUUCAAAAAAAUUCAAACAUUUUCUUGGCAACCAAACAUAAAUUACUUUAUUUUUUUUCAAAUUAUUAGUUUUCACAUUAAAAUAAAAAUAAUAAUAAUAAUAAAUUUUAUGAUCAUUCUUAACAUAUAAAAAUAAAUAAAUUCAACACUUUUAAGUGUUAAGAUAUUAAUACAAACAAACAACUUAAUAUUUAAAUACUAAUAAAAACCAAACAAAUUUCACUAAAAAAAAAAAAAAAACAAACACCAUCCAAGUCCAUUUUAAUAGCAUUUCUCAAUUAUAUGCCACCAUGAUUAUCAAGAAGACAAUACAUAUGAUAAUAUCAUUUUUCAAAAGCUAGCUUUAAAUAUGACAAAUAUAUAGUACCCAAAAUUGCAACCAUUUCCAAAUUGGUACUACAAAUGGGUUGAGGAGAAAUUUUUUAUUUGCAAAAGAUAAAAUGAAACUUGAUAAGGAAACUUUUUUUUUUUAUAAUUUUAAUUUUAAUUUUAAUUUUUAUGGACACAGCUGGUUCUAGUUGUAAAGUGGGAUGGGGGUGGGUGAUACUUACUAAGCUUUAUAAAAGCUUAUUUCAAACAAUAAAUAGCCAAGAAAGGAAUUGGCUACAUUUUUGGAGGAUAUUUGAUUGAUUUUGUAACCCCUUUUGGUUAAUUAAAAUAUCUUUAUCAUAAUGAUGCCUUUUAUAUCAUCUCACACUAUCCAUUUGUCAAACAAGAGAUGUGCAUUGAUGUUCACAAUAUCUUUUUUAUAUUUGUUUUUUAAUUAGUUUUUUUUUAUAAAUAUUUUUAAAAGUAAUUAAAAUAAAUUAUUUUUAAAAAUUGUUCUCAAAAAUUAAUUUUAUAAAAAAUAUUUACGAAAAUAUUACUAAGCAUACCCUAAAGUCUUUAAUUAUUAAUCUUUACAUCACUUAAAAUCAAUCCUUGUCAAUUAUAAUUGAUUUUCAUUGUAGGGAUAGUAUGAAGAUGAGAUUGUAUCAUUUGAGGUAAGAAAUUUAUAACAGCAGGAAAUGAAUCCAAAAAAAAGUGGGGAAAGUGAGAGAAAGACACAAAUACACGUGAGGAUUCACAGGUGUAUGAAAUGAUGUGUAAAGACUAAAGAGGUGGGUGUGGACGAAGGCAAUAAAGUCAAGAAAAUGAAAGGCUAUCCUGAAGAGGGAAUGGCAGUUGAGUGUGAGCAUUGCUUUUGGACCUUCUACUUCCCAAUCCCAACCCGUCCUAUUCAUUAUUCAACCCCUCCUAUGACUCAUUCUUCACAUGCUUGUGGGUCCAACCACCCCCCUUUUAAACACCCCCCACCCCCACCUCGGAAAAAAAUAAAAGUAAAAAACCAUUCCCUAGUAGUACCAAUUAGAUUUUCUUACUUUUUACUAACUUUUUUUUUUUUUUACCAUAAUCCCAUAUAUUUAUAUCACCCCCCAUCAUAGUAGAUUUUAUCAUAUGCUAUCAAUAAUUGGGAUUACAAGUUCAAGAAAAUAGAUGAUAUAUAAAACUAACAGUUUCUCAAGUACGAUACCAAUUUCAUACCUGUUGAAUCAAUAAGGAUAGAUAUCUAAUUUAGAUCUUAUUAUUUUCUAUUACUUUGAUUCUUCCGUACUUUGAUCUCAUCUAUUUCACCUACUUCCGUUUAUUUAUAUAUCAGUUUUCAACAUUGGAGAUUCGAUCAACACAAAAUCGAUACUCUAUAAUUUUCGAAAACAAAACACAGACUCAUUACAUAGUCUUAUGUAACUCAUUUUCUAAUUUCAAUCACUUGCUCACUCACACGAUGUGUUCAACCUUUAUCAGUUAGUUGUAGCAUUAGCAUCAAAUAGAAUGAAAAUUAAAUUAUGAUUGGAUGUGUGACAUAUAAAUUAAUUAAAAAAGGGAGAGAUGUCCCCUACAAUGAGCCCAUAAACAUACAUUAAUUUAGAUACCAUAUAUUAUUGAGGUUGACAUGGAUGUUACGCACAACGAAAAGUGGUAUAUAAUAAAUGGUUUCACAUUAACUAUACAAUGGCUCCUUGCUUAAUGUAUGCGUAUCCUAGAGAAGAUAUCAUCAAAUCUUUUAACAUUUAAUACUAAUGUUGAUUGAUUUCAUACCAUUUUCAUAUUAAUUAAUUGUGUUCGGUGUUUCAUAUUCCUUCUCCAAUAUCUUUGCCAGGUUACCCCACUCAUCAUAGUUUUUAAAUUAAGUACUUUGAUUCUAUCGAAUUAAAAAUUUUCGUUGAGUUAGAAAAGAAAAAAAAUCGAUGUUCAAAUCAGCUUAAUCGACUUAUAUUAAAAGCUAUUUCAUCUCUCUUACAAGAGUAAUGAUUUUAACUUUAACUUUGGUUUCAAUUUCAAAUUCUAAAUUCCGGUAAUUGAUUUUCGAGGAAUCAAAAUGUUUUUUAAAAUUUAAUAAUAUUUUUUAUAUUUUUUUAGCUAAUUUUAUUCAAAAAGUUUAUGUUUUUCACCGAGUAAUAAAAUAAAAAAUAAAAAGCUAUCCCAAACAAGGAGUUAAGUAAAACCAAAAGCUAGGCAAUGGAAUUUUCCGGACCCAUGGUUGCCCAGUGGCUUAGACUUUCCAAUAAUUGGUGCAUAUGGGGGGGCCACCAAUCUCAUAUGAGUUCAGAGAUUUAACUUCAAUUUCAUUGCUUUAAAGCCCAUAUCAUAGAUAUGUAAUUGCAAAGUGAAAAUUUGUCCAUACUCCAUAAAAAGGCUACAUAUUAUAAUAAUAAAAAUGCCAUUAGAAAGAAUAAAAACCCUAGUAAUAAUUAAAUUAGGUGAGAGAUAAAAGUGAAAUUCUUGUUGAAAUGUAUGCAACAUUAAUGAAUUAUUGAUUGAAGUAGAAAUGAUAAGAGAGAGAGAGAGAGAGAGAGAGGGAGGGAGGGUGGGGAGAGGGAGAGAGAGAGAGAGAGAGGUUGGUAGCUGAAAAAGCCAAUGGCGGCAUUGAAUUUUGUGAUAGAAGUUAGGAGGUGAGAAGCCUCCGGUGCAAUCAAUGUGUAGGACCAUUGAGAUUAGGGUGGAAAUGAAAGGGAAUAGCUAGAUUUUCUCCUUCGCAUGAAUGUGAACAUGGUACAAAAGAAAAAGGAGUAUCUCCCCCUUUGAAGUGUCCACUUUUCUCUCACUUUCUUUCCCAACAAAUACUUCAAACCACCCCAUGACCAAUUAAAUCCCAUGGAAAUAUGAAGUUAUGAUUUGACGGCACUUUUGAGAGAUUCCCCGGAAUCUUUUGGGUUCAAUAUUUGGUUUUUAGGUGGUUUUUUGUUACUAAUAUUUAUUCUAAAAAUUAAAGACAUUAGGAUAAUUUGUUAUUUCCUAAUUCAAUAAAAAGUUAAAGUUGAAAUCAAAAUUAAAAUAAAACUUUUAUAAAAAAUAUUGUUUUCUUAAGUUUGGUAUUAAUCUAUUUUUAAGUUAUAAGUUCUUUUAAUAAAAUUUAUCAACUUCUCAAAAAUUAACCCGACCAAGUUAAAAUCUAUUAGACAAGCCCAUGUUUUUAGAUAAGACAACUUAAGUAGUUGAGUGUUAUUCAAUAUAUAAAGUUAUUAAUAAAUGAAUUUCAACAAAGUCUAUCCUCAAGGGCAUGGUGGAGUUUGUUAGAUACCUUGGCCCGGAUGAAAUUUGGUCCCACCACAUUCUAAGAAAGGUUUAACAAGACUUUUUGGAUAUGAUGAGUAGAAAAAACCCAAUGCACAUCACAAGACUCCCCCUUCCCCCCGAUAAAUUUUCUCGUCCAUGCCAUCUUGUUGUGUGGAGAAAGGUGUGAACUCUUCACUCAUUUUCUCAUUCAUUAAUACGAUAUAAAGAGUUAUUCAAAUCACAUGCACAUAUACAUACAUAUAUACAUAUAUGGUACUAAAAAGGUUGGAGUCAAUCAAAUAUGGAUGGUUUGAAAAGUUUUACACAAUUUAUACAAGAAAGAGAAUAAAUAUGUUGACAAAAGACCAUUCCAAGUAGAGGAUUUUUUCUUUUUCUGACUUGGGAACAUCUCAAGAAUACAAAUGAAUUGGUAGGUUUAAUGAGAAUAGACAUUUUGAAUGUGACUAUUCUUUUCAAGAGAAAAUACCCAUUAAGUUCAUUUUCAAGACAUGAAGGUGGGAACGGAGGGAAAAAUAAAUACUUUCAAUCACAAAAAUAAAAGAGGCCAUUGAUUGUAGUACAAAACAAAAGGACAAUAAUGGAGUUUUGGAUGCAUUAACAUUUGACUCCAAUAUGGUACUCCAUUCGAAACAAAUUGUUAUUAUUAAUGACAAGUUUUUCCUUUUUGUUUUUUUUUUUUAUGUGGAAAAAAUAAUAUUUUAAUUCCAAUUAUUGGGGUGGUGGCUUUGGACAUUUAGAUGAAAUGAUCUCAUUUAUAAUGCACUAUUAUUCAUGACCAAAAUUUAGGUCAUGACCUUGAGAAGAUGAUGAAGCCAUUUUUUUAAUGAGUCCAUUUAUAUUAUGAUAGUGAUAAAAGUCGAACAUACUCGUUUUUUUCAAACUUGCAAGGACUCGUGUUUGUAGAAAUUUGAUUUUUCACAUUUUUUUCAUGGUAUUUGUAAAUAUACGUUGUCUAGAGAGUCAAGUCUUAUCAAUAAAGUGAGAACCGAAAAUGAAAGACAAGAAAAAUAGUGGUUCAACCAAGAAAAUACAAUCUAGUUGAAAAUCUAGAAUCAUUUUAAGAAUAAUAAGGAAAAUAAAAUAUAAAAAAAAAACUUAUAUAUACGAAUAAUUAGCAUAAAAUUACUUUUAGACGUUUUACAAACUAGUCAAAAUGUUUUGUUUUUAUUUGUUUUAUCUUUUGUUAUGGCUAGAUUUGGUGUGGAGAUGGGCCUACUCCAAUUUGGGAGAACAUGGGCCCAACCGUGGGCUUGGAUGCCUUCACCUGAGCUUAAUUUAUGCAUGUUAAUGCAUUUCUCCAUUGGGCUGGGCCCUUCACCAGACCUCGGGAGCGGAUAAGCCCAUUGAAUCAAGCUCCGGACUAGUCCCACUAAAAUAUAUCUAGCUUGUUUAAUUAAUUUGAAUUAAAAUAUUCUUGUCCCAUCUUGAAAGCCCGUUUCGAAAUUUCCUAUCGGGUUGAAUAAAUUAGGAAAAUAAACAUAUUCGAUAAGCUCUCCACCUAUAACCUAAAAAUAGUGCAAGCUUAUUUAAAAACGCUUUUGAAAAUUAAUUUUUCAAAAAACAAUUUAUUUUCGAUUUAAAACCAAUUCUCAACUAAGGAUUCGAACAUGAAAAUAAUUUUUAUGUAUGAUACAAAAUUUUUCAAAGUAUUUUUUAUAAUAUUUAUAACAUUUUACAAAAAAAUCAAAUAAAAAUAUUAAAAAUUGUUUUCAAAAUAAAAUAUAAAAAAAAACCUAUCAUUUUGUCAAAAAAAUAUUUUCAAGAAUAAUUCUAUAGAAUCAUCAAAUUAUUACAUCGAAAUAGACUAAUAAUGUAUCAUCAAAUCAAUUGUACGAAUUUACUAUUCAAUCUUAACCUAACUUGUCUGAAUUAUUGCCACCAUUUUGGACCAUGCAGAGUUUUCAGCCCUUAAAUAUUUGGUCCCACUUUGUCGGUUUUCAUUGGAGCUUACAAAGCAAGAGAAAAUUUAAGACAAGAAUUUGAAUAUUCCAAUUUCCAAGGCAAGAAAAUUUGAAGCACUUGUUGAUAAUAAAAAAUAAAAUAAUUUUCUAUUUUCAAAAAUAAAAGGCAUCAAAAUUUUUAGUUUUGGAAAUAAAAACAAUUUUAAGAAAGAAAUCACUGUGCCUUUUUAUUCCCAAUAAAACCUAAAAAUCUUUGAAACUUGGGGAAGAAGAAGAACAGAAGAAACCAUUGUUAUAUGAGGAAAAUGGCAGAGCUUGAUGGGCUUCGACUUUUCUAACACAUUGAUUUCAUGUGUGCCAAAAACACUACAGUUUAAUCCUUCAAUUCUACUGUUUUUCACGUGCCUGUUGUUGUCAAUGUAUCGGGUUUGGAAAUAAGUCCCGUUACGAUACCGACAUAUAGCGAAAAAAUAUCAUUAAUCAAGUAGCGUCAUAUAUACAAUUUGGAUCUCUAGCUUUGAAAAAUAAGUGCCUUUGCAAUACCGAUAUAUAUAUAAAAAAAUAUUAUUAAUUAAGUCAUCAUAUAUAUAAUUUAGGUUUUACUGUGGUGUACUCUUAUCGGUUUUAAAAAAGUCUUGUUACAAUGCCGACAUUUACUGUAGAGACAUCAUCAAUCAAAUAAUGUUAUAUAUAUAUAUAUAUAAUUUAGAUCUUAUUAUGUUAUAUUUUUAUCGGCUUUAGAAAUAAGUCGUAUACCGAUAUUCAUGGAAGAAACAUUAUUAAUUAAAUAGUAUCAUAUAUAUAUAAUUUGGGUCUUAUUGUUUUAACAUCUUGGAAUUUUUCUUAAUACACUGUAAAUUAGAAAAAACAAAAAAAAACUUGUUUGAUAAUGGUUUUUCAAAACAAAUAUAAAAAAUUAUUUUUAAAAAUUAUUUUUUUAUAUUUUUAUAGAUUAAAUGUCGUGUUACAAUAGUUUCCCAUGCUUUUAAAAAUAAUUUUUACAUAUAAUAAUUUAUUUUUUAUAAUUAUAUAAUUAUUUUUUAAAAGAACUCUCAAAAAUAAUAAUUAAAAAACAUUAUCUAAAAACAAUUUUUUUUAUCAAACAUAUUUUCGUUUUUUAUUUUAUAAAAAAAAAUUUCGAAAAUAGUACUUGGUGAAUAUAUGGCAUAAAUAAAAAUGGAUCUCAAUUAUUGGAGCUUACAGCUGUUUUGGGGCAUGCAAUGGAUGAGGGGCCCACCAAUGUUGAGCUAUGCCCUCAGCCUGCCUAGGGUUUGGGGUUUGUCAUUAUUCAUUUCACCCUGUGGAUAUAAAUGAGUUGUAAAUAAGACAAAUAGGGAAGCUCAGGUUUCAUUGACUGGGAAUUGGGGAAUUGGAAUGACCACUCCUCAAUCUGAAACUUUGAUCACUCACUACUCACCCAGUACACCCCAAAAUUCACCUGAUAGCCUUUUUUUUUUUUUUUUUUUCAAAUUAAUGAAUAAAUAUUUAUAUAUCCCAUAAAUUAUAAAUUCAAAUUUUUCAUUUUUUUAUUAAAAAAUUAAAAUUAUAGUUAAAAAAUAAAAAAGAAUUAAAUUAUAUUUUUUUAUUAUAAAUUUAAAAUUUCACUCACCUUAUAUGAUAUUUCGAUUAAAUACAUCUUAUUCUCCUAAUCUUAAAAUUUUAUCAAAUACCGUUCUCAUUAUUUUCAUUUUUUAUUUUUACUCACCUCUUAUUUCACUCGAAAUAAAGGAGGUACAUGAUGAAAUUGGAUACUUAGAGGGGCUAAAUAUAUUUUGUCAAAACCUCGAAAAAGGUAAAUGAAAUUAACCCUAUUAACAAAAAAUGAUUUGUGAAUAAUGCUAAAUUUGAGAAAAUUCUCAUAGUUUUAAAAUUUCAUCAAAUACCGUUCUUAUCAUUUCCAUUUUUUAUUUUUACUCACCUCCUAUUUCACUCGAAAUAAAGGAAGUACAUGAUGAAAUUGCAUACUUAUAGGGGCUAAAUAUAUUUAGCCAAAACCUUGGAAAAGGUGAAUGAGAUUAACCCUAUUAACAAAUAAUAAUUUGUGAAUAAUACUAAAUUUGAGAAAGAUUUCUCACCUUUUUUUUAAUAACACGUAUUUUGAGAGAAUAUACGUUUUAUUUUAAAUAAAUAUCAAAUAUUGAAUUAAGAAUAUUAUAUCCGGAUAUGCAUGUCUAAUCCACGUCGUAUCUUAUCUUAUCAUAUCAACCAAAUGUAACUAAAAAAAUUUGAAAAAUUUUAUUUUUAUUUGUUCAUAUGAUUUUAUAAAAAAUGUUUGUUAAAAAACAAUAAAAUAAUGUUUCAUCUAGAUUCAUUUUGACUUAUAUAAAAGCUUAUUUAAAUUCAAUGUUGUCUUAUUUUAACUUUUUAUUAUCAUCAUGAGCAAAAUACAAUGAAAUUUGGGUUCAUUUUUUUUAUUUUUAUACAAAAUAUAAGAAAUUUUAUUAAAAAAAAAAUCCUUUUUUAAAAAUAAUUUUAAAAUUUUAAAGAAGUAAAAACCUUAAUUUUUCAAAUUUGGGCUGGGAACAGCCCGGUGACAUACCCAGUUUUGCAUGGGCCAAUUAGUGUGAGCUUGUGUGCUACAAAAUCCUUCCCCACUCUGCUAAGCCCAAUGGGCCAAGAGUUGAUCGAAUUGGGCUGAUCCUCCAUGUUUGGAGGCUGAGAAAGUGUUGCAUUCACCUUAAUGAUAGCCUGGAUGGGUAUAAAUUAUAAAAUAUGAGCCUGGCAUUAAAUAAUAAUAAGCCAUUAUUAGGUUUCUAUUCUAUGGUCUUUGACUAUAUUUUAUUAUUAAUAAUUUUUUAAUAUGUUAUUUUCAGAGUAUUUAAUUAUUUUAUUUUAAUAUUAAUAAACUUAUGAUUGUUGGAAUACGUGUGCGGCUCUCGAAAGAGAUAGGUGGUCGGCACACCAUGAGAAAUGAAAAAUAGGAUAAAUGAUCGGAAAAAAUAAUUAUAUUAUGACAGAUAGAACCUGGGAGAAAUUUUUUAAAUUUUUUUCUUAUUUUUAAAAUUAUUAUUAUUGGUGGACUAGAGGUUGGACGCAUCCAUCGACUUGCCUUACAUUUGAAUGACGUGGGUGUUUUAGUAAAUACAUUAUAAGAUUAGGGCAUAUGCUUUUAUUGACAGUUUUUAGAAGAGUUGAUACUGGUUGAAAAGGGAUGUCGUUGGUAAAGAGUUUAUUGAUCGAUUUAAGGUUGACUGCAUUCAUCAACUCGCCUUAUGUUCAAAUGUGAUAGAUACUUCCUCACCAUAAUUGUUUUUGGAAGAGGUGAUAGCACAUAAGAUCAUUCAAUUAUUAUUAUUAUUAUUAUUAUUAUUAUUAUAUAUAAGUGAUAAAUAAAAUGAGAGACAAAGCUUUCAACAAAAUAGUGGUUUAAAUAAUUACUAAAUGUAUUUUAAUUUUUUGUUAAUAAAAUAAAAAAUUAAAAUCAAAACUGUCAAAUAUCCUUAAAAAAAUAAAAGACAUAAAUUCAAAUAUUUAUAUUUUGUGUUUUUUAAAAUAUUAAAAUUAAAUUAUAUUCAAAUAAACACCUAAAUAAAAAAUAAAAAAGUAUUGAAUGGUUAGACUUUUUUUUUUAUAAGUGUUUUUAAAAUUAAUUAUGAAAGUAGUUUUUUAAAAUAGAUUUAUAAUAUUUUGUAAAAUAAUAGUAUGUUUUGGAACUUGAAAUAUUUUUAAAUAUGUUUUAAAAUUAUUUUUUAUAGAUAAUGCUUUAUCUUUUACCAUUCUCCAUAUUUAUAUGAUAAUUUAAAAAAAUAAUCUUCAAAAAGUAAAUAAAUAAAUUAAAAGAUAUUUUAUAUUAAAAAAUAUAUAUUUUUUAAAAUAUAAAAUUAUGGCUUGUUUGACAACUAUUUUUUAGAACUAUUUUUUUUUCUACAAAAAAAAAUUAUUUUAUGUUUUUUGUUAUUAAGAAUAAAAAACAAGACAUUUUCUGUUAUUUUCUAAUAGCGAUUUUAAAAAAUAAUUAUACAAACAUAUAAAAUGAUUAAAAAUAAAACAUUAGAUAUAUAAAUUAUUUUUAAAAUAAAAUUAAAAAUAUGAAAAAUAAGUUAAAACAAUUUACAUUUUCAAACAAACUUUUGUUUUAUAAAAAUUAGAAAAUAGUUUUUCAAAAACUAUUUUUUACUAUUAUUUUCAGGAAGAGUUACCUGUCUUUUAUGGUAAUCAAACAUGUUUUCUUACUCUUUUUUUUUUAAUUAAUUUUUUAAGAAAAUAAAGAACUAUUUUUUCAAAAGCAAUGGCCAAAUAAACUUUUGGUUCAAUUCUAAAAAAAAAAUUAUUUUAAGACUUAAUUAUUUUAAAAAUGACAUUCUAUUCCAUAAAUCAAAUAUGCAGGGUAGUUCCUUUUCGUUUAUUUUUUAUGAAGAUAUUAUAUGAUACAAAGGUUUCGGAACAUCUUAUAUAUUUUUUAACUAUUUAAUAUAAAUACUUUAAAAAAAAAUCCAUGAAAACAUUCCGGAUAUAUUUUAAAAGUUAGGUUUUCAAAAUAAAUUGUCAAAAAAAUACUUUUAGUACAAAAAUUAGUCGUGUUUUUAAAAUUAAAAACCUUAUUUAUAGAAAUAAUUGAUUAGUAUGGAUGAGAUAAAUCUCGUAUAUGUAAAUCUAACCUCUACAAUUGUUUGCCUUAAAAGGUAACCUAUCUUUGAUAUAAAUGUCCCUUGAUAUAUUGAUUAUUUAUAUAUGUGUUUUAAAAUAAAAUAUUGUCUUUUAAGAAAAAACCUAUGACAUUUAUGUCCAAUUUUUAAAAAUUGAAGGGUUAGGAUGUGUUCGACAACUGUUCUCGAUAACAGUUUUUUAUACUAUAAAAUGAUUAAAAAUGAAACACAAGAUAUAAAAAUUAUUUUAAAAAUAUAAAAAACAAGAUAAAAAUAUUUUAGGUUUCCUAACAGAAUUUUGUUUUACAAAAUAUCAGCUAAUAAAUUUAAAAAACCGCUUUUUGAAAAUAGUUACCAAGUAAACCUUUAGAUUUACAAAACGAGGAUAAUUAUGUCCCUUUCAAUCAAAUAACCCUAUUUUAUAUUCCAAAAAAUAAAAAUUAUUAAAAAAAAACCCCCUUAAUUUAACUACCUCUUUGAGGCAUUCAAAUUCCACCAUGAGAAGGGAGAAAGUCACAAUUAGGAGACAUCUUUUUUUGUUUUUUUUUAAUGUAUAGAAACUUACAUUAGACGGUUCCCACCUCACACUCACACAAAAAUUCAUUACUAUAAUUUAACAUUAAAUCUUGUUAUGGUUUGAAUACAAAACUAAAUGAUGAAAGAAACCAGCUCCUAUUUUGGAAAGCUUCCUCCACUCUAUUGCUUUUCUCUUUACGCAAUGCUACAAACAUGCAUGGCAUAAUUAUAAAAUGGCAUGUGACAAAAAAGCCACCUAUUUAUUUAUUUAUUUUAUUUAUUUAUUUAUUAUUAUUAAAUUGUUCACAACUUUGAUUCCUCUCUCUCUCUCUCUCUCUCUCUCUCUCUAUAUAUAUAUUUUUUAUUUGUAAAUAAUUAGACAUGUCUGUAGUAAUGAGUGGGUUGAAAUGGAGUAAAGUUUGUGCUUUUUCUUUUACCCUGUUCUUAAUGAUGGGGAAAACAAAGAAUUAAUUGAGAAAUAUUCUAAUAGUAAGCAAUCCCUGAUUUGAAGGAGCACUGUGGAAUCAAGCUUUGACAAAUUGUUUAUUAGUCAUCACCAACUCUUAUAUGGUUUAUAUUCAUUAAUUAUUGAAUCCAAAAUUGUGGUCAAACUCUACCAAACAAAAUUUUAGCUACUUUGUAUUUUUUCCUUUUAAAAAAAAAAAGUUAAUUUAUUAUAAGAGUAAAUAUAUUUUGCUAUUGGAAUUUUAUCCAUGGUUCGGUGACUGUUUUAUAAAAUAGUUUUGAAAAUAAUUAUUUCAUAUUUUAUACAAACGCAAAGUAUUUUUAAUUUAUUUUUAUUAUUUUUAAAUAUAUUUUAAAAAUAAUUAUAUAUGUAUAUUUUAUUUUUUAUUGUUUUGUAUGUUUAUAUAAUUAUUUUUAAAACAGUUAUAGAAAAAAUAAGUAAAAACCAAAAAUGUUAUUUGAAAUUAUAUUAGGUUUGCUCAUAACUGUUUUUAAAAACCAAAAACACAAAAAGCAUUGUUUGAUAAUUAAUUUUUAUUUUUAUUAAGAAUAUAAAAUAUAGUAUUUUUAGACAAUAUUUUUGAAUUAUUUUAUAUCGUUUUCACUUAUUUUUUAAAAAUAAAUCAUUAGAUAUAAAUUUUUUUAAAACAUAUUUAAAAAUAUUAAAAAUAAGUUAAAAAUAUUUUAUAUUUCUAAAUAAACUUUACAAAUAUGAUAGAAUAACUUUCAAAAACUGUUUUCAAAAAAUAUUUUUUCAAUUUUUUUUAAAAACAAAAAAUAUAAAAUAUUUUUUAUAUUAUUGAAAUUUUAAUAUGAAAAAAAAGUGAAAAGUAAAGAGUAUAAAUUAUAGUUUAUUUUGUUUAAUCAUAUAGAAGAAAAUUGAUUUUUAUAUUUUAAAUAAUAUAAAACAAAAUAGUGUAGCACAUGGGAGAAAAUUAUUAUUUUAAUUUUUUAAAUAAUGGAAAAUAUUAUAAAAAUAAGAUAUUUAUUUUCAAAUGUGAAAAUAUUUUAGUAUAAGUAUAUGAAUGGCAUUUAUUUUUAAAUAAACAAUUCCAAGAGGAAAUUGAAAAAAAAAAAUCAGAAUAUUCGUUUAUACUCUCAAUUGGCGUGCAUAUGUGACCAGAGGGAGGGGUAUUAUCGUAAUAGCAGAUAAAAAAUCUUACCUAAAGUGCCGAUGAAGGAUGAACUUGAGCUGUCGAAUUGGAAAUGAUGAAGAAUCAACGGCGGAGAAUGGGAGUUUGACUGAAGUACGAAUGGGGUUGGAAUGAUUGGCUUUUAUAUAGACUUUGACCGAAGGAGAUUUGAAACGAGCACACAAUUAUAGCCUUUUUCUAGAGCGAGAAAAUAGAGAGAGAAAGCGAAGGAAAAUAGAGAGAGAGAGAGAGACGGGGGGUGAGGGAGGUUGUGUUUUUUAUUACAAAUUCCUUUUCUCUCCUUGGUGUUUGUUUCUGGGAUUUUUUUGGUUUACUCUGUUAAGCGCGGAGGAGAGAGAAAAAUUUCUCUCUUUUUCUCUCUCUCUUUUUUCCUUAGACGUGGAGAGAGAAAAGCAGAGGGAGAAGAAGGAGAAAGGGAUUAGGGUUUUCGUUGUUGGAACUUGGAAACGAUGAAUGUGAUGCGUCGUCUCAAGAGCAUUGCUUCUGGUCGAUCCUCCGUUUCUGAUCCCGUAAGUUUUCUGUUCUUUUUUUUUUUCCCUUUUUAUGGCCUGUUUGGUUGGUGAGAAAAAGCCAAAAAAAAUGAAGUUUCUGGCUUUUUGCAGAAUGGAGUUGAUGGGUAUUUUUUAGAAAUAAUUCUGGGUAGCUUAUGAUGAUCAAUCCAAGGUUUUGGAGUUCAUUACUUUUGCUUUCCAUGUUCUCUCAGCUACCAAACUGAGCAUUUAUUAUCAUCCACGAUUUGGUUAUAUUGAAGCUUGUUGAGUAAUUAUUUAAUUUCAUAGGUUUUCAGCUAAUUUCUAAUUAAUCUUAGAAUUUGUUUUAUUUUUCAAAAAAUUUAAAUGGUUUUUCUUGAAUCUUGCAUAAAUUCUUAUUAUUAAUUUUAGGAUUUCAGAAAGUAAAUGUUGGAGAUUUCUUUUCCCUUUUUUGGGCUCAUUUUCGUAGCCUUCUAUUUUCUGAAGGUGCUUGUUCUUGAUUCCCAACUGGUGUUGCAUGUUUGGUUGAUUUUCAAAAGAUUUUGAUGGAUUAAGAUAUCUUUAAAGUUAGCUGAUCAAUGUGGAAAACAUCCUCUUAGAGUUCUAAGCGCCUGAAGGAGGUUAGUUUAAGUCGGUGUUGAUGACCAUUUAUGGGGCUUGAAUGAUGUAUGGGAGCAUGAAAUUUUGUUUUGUCAAUGUGAUUAUGAUGAAUUAGAUGAAUAACUCCAGCUCAGUUUAUAAAUUUGAGACCCUUUUGUAGGGAUUAGAGCGGCUGCGAAUCUUUGCCCGACAUGUUAAUUUGCAAUUGAGAAACUAUGAUAGGACAAAUUUGAUGGAUUUUAUUCAAGUUUCUCCACAUCAACUGACUCAAAUGGAUUGCUGCAGAAUGUUGUUAGAUAACUUAAAAUUAUAAGAGGAAGACCCUAAGGAUUCCUAAUUUUGGGUCAUUGUUAGAUAAUUAAAAAAAUAUGGUAAAAUGGAAGCAAAUUUAUGUGCCUUGAGUUUUCCCAUUUGAGUUGUGCUCUAGAGGGCUAGUUUGAAUAUUUAGCCUACGGUAUUGGGAAAAUGUUGUUGCAGGUUAUUGGAUUUUUUUAUCUGUAUUAUUUCCAAAGGUGGUAUGCACACAAUAAAUAAGGUUUACGAGCGCAUUGGCUUUGGAAUUCAUUGUCCUCAGUUAGCAAUAAAGUUAAGAUUUGUUGCUGAUGAGAUAGGAGAGUAUCUUUUAAUUGCUCUUCAAAACAUUUUCACUCCGUUUGGAUGUUGGCAAUUAGAAGGAAAAGUUUAAAAAAUAGGAAGGAAUCUCAAAUUUUCUUAUUUGGUCUGUCAUGAAAAUCAUAGAGCAAAAUAAAAUUUAAUGAGAAUUCAAAAAUAUUUAUGUUUGUAAAUUCUUCCUUCUAUUCCUUAUAGAAGGAGAAAAAAAAUUAUUCACCAUAAGCCUGUUUUUCAUUUUCUUUUGUAUUUUUUACUCCCUUUUCAUCAUUUUUCUCCUAAAUCCCUGCCUUCAAACUUUCCAUGAUCCAAAUGGAGCCUUACAGCAUUGGAUUUUAGUGGUCUAUUUUUAUGGUCUUGAUGAGUUAUCUAUCACUUGAGAUUUGUCUUUGAAGAUUACCACUUUUUGUACUCUUUCAGUUUUUGUUAAUUGAAAAAAAGGCUCCGAGUUAUAGAGCCAGGCAUGUAAGCUGGGAGAGUCUAUUUGGCCUUUAAUUGGUCUAUCUUUUGAUAUUCUUUUAAUGCAACUUUAUCCUUUCCUCCCUAAUUGUGAUAGAAAUUUUCAAUUUAUUUUCUUUUAGGGUGGGGAUUCCAGCACAAAGAGGGCAAAGGUCGAUCAAGAAGCAGAACAGAAAGUUGCUGAUGAAACGCAUUCAGUAGAGAAAAGCACAAGUCUAGAGCAGCAUAUGGCUUCUACAUCACAGGAAACUGCUGCAAGCACAUCCAAUGUAUCCUCUAUUGCAAGAACCGAACAGUCUGGUUAUGAUCAACUUCCCAAAGAAAUGCAUGACAUGAAAAUCAGAGAUGAAAAAGUUGACCCUCAUGAUGAUAAGGUAAUGAGCUUGUUGGUUAUUUAUUAUUUGUUAUUCCUGAUUUCUUUGUAAUCUAUAUCUUUCUCCUAUGUAUAUUGAGAUCAAUAGUUUCCUAUUGACGGUUUGGUAAUUUUUGCACAACGCAGGAUGCAGAGCCUACUGUUGUGAGUGGUAGUGGAACAGAAACAGGUCAGAUAAUUGCAACUACAAUAGGUGGUCGCAAUGGACAACCAAAACAGGUGAUCUGAUUGCCAUUCUGGAAAUGUCGUUGCAUUCUUUUUCUUCUUUGUACUUGUCUUUCUAUAUCUUAUAUAAUCAUAUAUUUGUUGUGGUGCAUGUUUUUACUUUUACACUACAUUUAUGAUUUUUAGUGAUUGAUUGGAGCAGGAGUUAGGAAACUUUUCUUUGAUUCAUUAUUUAUCUCAUUUGAGGGCUUUUUUUUUUCUUUUUUAAUAUAUGUUGGUAUAUAAUAUGGUAUUACUUGAAAGAUUUGCUUAUUUAGGUAGAAUGAUUUCUUCCCAAAAAAUAUGCUAUUUGGUGAAAGUUUUUAUACUUGGAUUUGUUAGCGAUCCUUAGCAUUUUUUGCAUGUGCUAUUUUUGCUUUUGAACGUUUUUCCAGUAUGUUUAUCAUGACUGAUAGUUGUAUUUCAUGAGAAUAAGGAUGUUUGCCCACAAUCAAAGUUGUUAACAAUUUGUUGUUAUUUUGGUUGCAGACAGUCUCCUACAUGGCUGAGCGGGUGGUUGGCACUGGUUCCUUUGGGGUCGUUUUUCAGGUACUUGGAAUUGAUCUUGAUAUACCUUGUGAGCAAUUGGCCUUUGGGUAAUUUUCCAGAUAAUAUUGUUCUCAUUUUUUUAUGUUUUAUUUUGACAAUGCAGGCUAAAUGCCUAGAAACAGGUGAAGCAGUGGCAAUUAAGAAGGUGCUGCAGGAUAAGAGAUACAAGAAUAGAGAACUCCAAAUUAUGCGCGUACUUGACCAUCCUAAUGUUGUUCAACUAAAGCACUGUUUCUUCUCAACUUCUGAAAAAGAUGUGGUGUACCUUAAUCUUGUCCUUGAGUAUGUAUCUGAAACUGUCUACCGAGUUUCAAGGCAUCACAGCAGGAUGAACCAGCACAUGCCCAUUAUAUAUGUGCAACUGUAUGCAUACCAGGUGAACUUUGAAGUUGUGUAUUAAGUAUCUUAAUUUGGUUGCAAGGCAACUGUUGCAUUGCUGGAUUUAUACUGUAAUUACAUUUCCUUCUUGUGCCUACCUUUAUUUCAUUUAUAUUGUAAUUUCAUUUAGUAUUAUUUUCCUUUUGCAGAUCUGCCGUGCACUUAACUACAUGCACAGUGUUAUUGGGGUCUGUCAUCGUGAUAUCAAGCCUCAGAAUUUAUUGGUAAGCUUUUCUUGAGUAUGAAGAAAGUGAAGGUGGAAGUUAUGAUUUAUGCUGCAAUUAUUGUCUCAUUAGUAGUAUGUGGUGAUAAUCUUGUUCUUUGUAUUACAUUCAUGUUAAAAUGGUAAAUUUGUUAUCUAUAUCUUGUCAAAGUAUUUAGGUUUUGUGGUUUUGAUGCAUGCCGCAGGUCAAUCCCCAGACUCAUCAGCUAAAGAUAUGUGAUUUUGGGAGUGCAAAGAAGUUGGUAUGUUUAUUAUCUUCCUUGGAAUUUUUCAACACUAAUUUGCUAUAGCAGGUUUUGAACUUCAUUUGCCUGAUGGUAGGUGCCAGGUGAACCAAACAUAUCAUAUAUUUGCUCAAGGUAUUAUAGGGCUCCAGAACUGAUCUUUGGGGCUACAGAAUAUACAACUGCCAUUGAUAUGUGGUCUGCAGGUUGCGUUGUGGCUGAGCUUCUUCUUGGCCAGGUGGGUUUAUGCAUGUGAAUAUCUUAUACUGAUGAAAUAUGCUGAACUAACCUUUAAAAGUUUCACGUUUCAUAAAGAUCUUGUUGGAGAUUUACACUUAACUCACCAGUGCCCACUAAUUUGUGCAAGAAUGAACAUGGAAUAUACUGAAUCUGGGAAAGAUAAUAUUCCUUCAUUCGCUUCAGUUGCAUCUUGAGAAAUUAGUUGUUGAUUUUAUGAUAUCCUGUCUUUUGGUUCUUUUAAGCAUGCGGAGUAGAUGUAUACCUAUUUUGUUUUUUCUCCUCUUGGCAUCUAAUUGUUUAGAAUGGUUUUGCUUUGCUAGGUUUUACCAUUGCCUUUUAUGGAUGUUAACCAUGUCACUCAUAUCUUAGUGUCUCCUAAGUUUUACCUUCUUGUUUAUUUAUUAUCUAUCUUCUGUUUUUCAUGUGAAGUAGUAUUUGUGUUGGGAUUCUCUGAUGUUACUAUUUUAAUGACCGUUCAGCAUCCUUUUCUUAAACAUUCUUUUAUUGAAUUUGUUCAUUUUCUUUUGGUCUAUGAUGUGCCUCAUAUCUUCCUUUUAUCUUUCAUGAACAUGUUACAUUUCUGACCGAUAUGCUAUGUUGUGUUAUGUGCAGCCACUGUUUCCUGGGGAAAGUGGUGUUGAUCAGCUGGUGGAAAUCAUUAAGGUUUGCUAUCAAGUGGCUUUUCUGUUAUUCACUUUCUUUUCUUAAUAUUAUAGGUCAGCUAAGCAGGAUGUUGUUGCAUGUUAUGUCUUAGAUUCUGGGUACACCCACCAGAGAAGAAAUUAAGUGCAUGAAUCCAAAUUACAAUGAGUUCAAGUUUCCACAAAUCAAAGCUCACCCAUGGCACAAGGUUUGUCAACAAUUCUAAAGGGUAGAUCAUAUCUGCUGCCCGACAUCACUGAUAUUUGAUAAAUUAUAUUUCUAUAGCCAAAAGCUUAUUUAAGUUUUGUUUUCCAGCUUUUCCAUAAGCGAAUGCCCCCAGAAGCUGUGGAUCUUGUAUCAAGGCUGCUUCAGUAUUCGCCAAAUUUGAGAUGCACCGCCGUAUGAAAUUUGAAUGCUUUAUAUAAAUUUGUUCAUUUUCAUAGUUUUUCCAAACUGAAAUCUUCCGAAUGCUUGUGUUGAGGUGGUUUUGUUUGAUUUGUGUUGUAACUUGCAUGUAUUUUACCUGCAUUAUAUAUUGUCACAACCCUAAUUAUUAUAAAAAAAAAAUUAUUAGUACUAGCUGGUUUCCAAAACAUUACUUUUCUCUAAACUAUUUGGAAUGGAAUUUAAUGUUUUAGAAAAUAUUAUGUGUUUCUGAGAGCAUGGUAUCCUAAUCUAGCAUCCUAUCUUGCAGCUGGAGGCGUGUGCACAUCACUUCUUUGAUGAUUUAAGAGAGACAAAUGCCUGCUUGCCAAAUGGUCGGCCUCUUCCUCCUUUAUUCAAUUUCACACCUCAAGGUAAGCUAAUACACCAUUUCCUUAUAAUCCUCUUCUCUUAAUUGGUGAUUCUUACCUUGGUAUCACAUGUCAAACUUGUCACAGAGCUGGUACACUCAACUCCUGAACUGCGUCAACGUCUCAUUCCUGAGCAUGCAAGGAAAUAAGUUAAUGAGCAUGCACUGGUUUCAUCUGUAGGCAAUACGAAUGGGUUUUUGGAUAUGCUUAGUUGUCCCACGAGCCAUGCUACCUUUGGCCUUCACAGAAUAGUCACAGGAAAUAUGCGGCCUAAGAGAGAGUGUUUGGGGGCUGGCGGGGUUAUCUUUUUGAGGCGGGCAUUUACGAUGGAUUUGCAGGUGGACUUAUGAGGUGCAUAGGAUUGAG